rnacentral:lncRNA from 1 species
AAUUUGAGAAUCUCAAAAUUUUAUUAAUAAAAUAUUUUGGAUGAAUCUUAUAAGGGGUUUACCAAUGAGGUUGCUCUUAGGCAUUUCAUGCAUAACAAAAAAUAAGCACAAUUCUACAGUAGCAAAUAUGGUUUAUCAUUGUAUUUAGAGAGUCAGAGGAAACACAAAGAUAAAUAGAGAAAUAUUUUUUCUUAUUAAUUUAUGAUUCGGGCCGAAAGACGAAAUACAUAAACGACACAAGGAAAAUGGAGAUACCCAAUUUGACGAAAAUCGAAAUGGUGAACGAGAGCAUCCUGUCACAGCGAUAAACUCUUCACGAAGAACAACGAAACCACCUGACAGUUUUUAUUUUUUGCUGAAAAAACACCGAAAUGUUAAAAGCAUUUGAUAGAGCUUUAAAGAGAAAGAAGAUAGAGAAAAGAGGCGGGAGAGAAAGACUCAACUAGAGAUCAGCCAACUGUAUAGAAAUCGCUGAAACUGGAUAACCCUUAUUCGGUCGGAAUCGCUCCCUGCACCAGAAUACACCGGCGAUCAUCAAAACAAACACGAACACUCCCAAAAUCACCAAUAGUAGAACGACGAUUUGAAGACUGAGCUGGGGGAUUUGGAAUAAACCAGCCAUUCUUUUUUUUUUUUUUCUUUUGGAAAUUUUCCAAACAAUUCCACCAUUUUAUAUAAACGACUGUCAUCGACGAUCGAAAAUUUUCAACAGAUGAAGGAACGUAGGGUUUCCAAAUUCAGCCUAAUAUAGUAAAAAGUGCUUUUUAAACCAAAAUCCGACGUAUUUCUGUACUGAAACCCACUCUAGAUUCCGUGCGGAAAAAGCUUUACUCUGUAACUUACUUUUGGAGAAGACGACGAUGGCUACAAGUUAUUUGGGCCGUCUCCAUUCUUUUUUAGUGGGCUUUAAACCCAUAGUAACUUAUUAAUCUUCACUAUCGUCAAAUGCCAAAUGGUCUAAUUCUUAAUUUUUGCUGGUUCUGGUGAAGACCGAUAUUCGGUUGAGCCCGGUUCAAAAGUCGAUUUCAUCUCUGCGUCCGGUUUUCACUUAUUUCAGAAUAGUAAAUAUGCUCAUUCUAUCUGUAACCAAAAAUAACAAGAAAGCAAAUGAUACAAAUAUAACAUACAUGUUCUAAUUCCACUCCAGACAAUCAAAAUCUAAAUCGAGCAUGUGUAAAAAUCGGUUCUUUGGUUUAAAUUUAUGUACCUUUAUAUAUAAAAAUAUUUGUAUUUGUUAUAUUAUAUAGAGAAAAACAAAUGUACGUUUUAUAUUAUAUCUUCUAUUUAGUUAUAAUUUGAUGAAAUAUUAUAAUAACUUAAUAAUAUUAUUAAAGGGCUCAACCUUGACCAAAAAACAUAUGAAAUAGAAAAGGUAAAUAGUGAAAAGGUAGGAGUUGGUGGAGAAUUUUUUUUUUUUAGAGUAGAUGAUUCCGUCUAUGUUCUAGAAAAUGAGCUUUUAUCGACUAUAAACGCGUGUUUGGUCCAUAUUAGUUUACUUUUGUUAUGAACACAAGAAAAUAGGAGAAACAAAUAUUUUGGUCAACUGAAAAGUCAGAGAGAAACACUAAAAGCCGAGCAGCUACAAUUUUGGGAAAGGGAAACCACACCACAUUGCUUUCAGAUAUGCCAAUGAAUUGUUGAAAUGUUGCAAAGAAAAACUAAUUUUAAAAGCUAGCAUAUGUCGUUAUGAGUUAUGAAUAUUUUUUUUAAUUCAAGCACUAUCAAUCUAUAUCCAUAACCGCUAAUUUAAAAGAAAAAAAGACUAGACUAAAAUUACUGACAUAGACUGAUUAUGACAGUUCGGGAUUUAUUCCACGUGGGUUUAUGUAAUAGUUUAUUCGAUAGAAGAACAAAUAUCCUGUAAAACAUAGAAGAAUAAAUAUCCUGUUGAUACAUAUAUGUAUUUUAAUAUAUUCAAACUGGGGUCCGAAAUGGCUGCCAAAUUUGAUCCUUUGACACAUCUCCGCAGCCUCAGAUACAAUAAUUGUUUUCAAUGCUUUUAUCGCUGAAUACAAUUGUUAUUAUUUGUCUUUUUUUUUGGGUCAAAAUAUUUGAUGUUUAUUUGUUUUAAUUAACAUCAAUUAAAUAAAGGGGAAAAGGAGCAUCUAAUUAAUUUAAGUAUAUAAAAAUUCAGAAUAUACUAUCGCACUGAGUUUACAAAAGCCCCAUAUCCAGUUAUUGUGUUUUGUUUUCUCUGUCUUGUGAUCCUAUCAACGAUUUUUUGUUUUGUUUUGCAUUUACCUGUAAGAUGAUGCAUACAUAUUUAACGGACACUAGUUCUAUGAUUCUAUCAUAUUUUCUCAAAUCCAUAUUAUUUACUUAUAAAAACAAAUCUACAACGUAUCUUUAUCAAGAUAAAAAAAGCUUACAAAUUUUAGUCACAUAAAUGGAUUACUAACUUUACCUAUAUAUAUGCGACUCGAAUUAUCUGACAUAUUUGUGACAGUUUGAUAUGUUUUAAUGAGUAAGGAAGCAUGUUUUUGAUAUAAGAUUGAGUAUCCGAAAUAUUCACAAUGUAUUUUAUUAGAACAACUAAUUCAGAUUAUAACUUUUUUUCAAAAGACCGCAUCUAAUUUUGGUCCGCUAUUUUUUAAAUGAAAUGCUCACACACUUGCUAUAAUAUAUAGACUGAGAUGAAAUUGUUUAUAGUGGAGUGGUUGUGGAAAAAAAACAAAUUGGUCUUUUUAAAAAGGGAAAGUUGUCUAAAUAGAAUAAACGAAAAAAACGAGAUAAAAUAAUAUUACACGAAAAAGAGGCAAAAGAGGUAAAUGGAUGAAGAGAGGGACCUACACGGAGGGGUGACUUCGUCCACCUUCUUCUUCUCGUUUUGACAUUUUGAUCGAAUUUUUCUUACUUUUUGUCAUUUUAUAAAUUUCAAAAGAAUGGGUCAUUUUCCUUCCUCCUAUAUAAUAACACUAUCAUCCUCUUAUGUGUUACAUCCACCAAAAAUAUCUUCCAACUCAAUAAUAAUACAAUUUCACUAAGCUGAUCAAUUUACUUUCGUAAAGCUUUGCUUCCAACCAUCGUUCUGUUUGUUUCCAGAUUUGUCUUGUUUCAGCUCGUAAAAGAGAUAUGGGAAGUGCUCUGGCUGAGUUACCCUGCGACGAUGUCGCCGAUAACAGAUCCGGCGUCGGAGGUGGGAUUUCCGACGUCUACGGUGAGGAUUUGGCCACGUUGGAUCAGCUCGUCACUCCUUGGGUCACCUCCGUCGCCAGGUGAGCCAUCAACGACCUUGUUCUCAUCCUCUGUUUUCUUUUUUCUUUUUCUUUUUUUUCUGGAGGGGCCUUUUGUUUCACUUUGAUCUAAAAGAAACUCUUGAGAUUUAGCUAAAGUAAAAGCUGCUUGCUUUCAAGUAGAAUUUCGCUUUGUUAGCUGCUCAAACUAACUUAGGAGCCAAGAAACUUCUUCUGUGAAAUAUGAAACUGCUUUUUUUCUUGUUGUUAAAGCGUAAAUGAAAAUGUUUUCAGUGGCUCCACGUUGAUGCGUGACCCGCGAUACAACAAGGGACUUGCAUUCACUGACAAAGAAAGAGAUGCACAUUACCUAACUGGUCUUCUUCCCCCUGUUGUUUUAACUCAGGAUGUUCAGGUGACCUUGAGUUUUGAAUAUAACCCAUUGAUCUUUAAUUAUUGAUCUGGGCUUGUUUGUGUUAACUUGUGAUCUGUGGUUGAUUAUUUAGGAGAGAAAGCUGAUGCACAAUCUCCGCCAGUACACUGUACCUCUACAGCGUUACAUGGCCCUGAUGGAUCUUCAGGUGAUUGAUUGUUCUUUCGAAUGUGUGUUCACUUUACUUAGUUUUUUAUUUUUUGGUCAGCUGGUGGCUUAUUUACGUUUUGUGAAUCUUGCAGGAAAGGAACGAGAGGUUGUUCUAUAAGCUUUUGAUUGAUAACGUGGAGGAGUUGCUUCCAGUAGUGUACACACCAACAGUUGGUGAGGCUUGCCAGAAGUAUGGGAGCAUUUUCAGGAAGCCACAGGGUCUCUACAUCAGCUUGAAAGAGAAGUGUGUUUUCUAAUUUAGUAUUCUCUUUCUCUUUUCGCCAGGUCGCUAUUCUAUUUUUGUUUUCUUUGAGAUACUAAAGUUUACGUAUGGUCUUUAGGGGCAAGAUUCUUGAAGUGUUGAAGAACUGGCCUCAGAGAGGGAUCCAAGUCAUCGUUGUUACUGACGGUGAGCGGAUUCUUGGUCUGGGAGAUCUUGGUUGCCAGGUAAUUAAUAAAAUGGUUCCUUUUGAGUUAACACUUGAAACUUGACCACAUUUUGUGUCUAAUUUAUGCAUUUACCAUCUGUUUGAACGAUUGUGAUUUGUUUUUCCAGGGAAUGGGAAUUCCAGUGGGAAAACUUUCUCUUUACACAGCUUUGGGAGGAAUCCGUCCAUCAGCUGUAAGCACCGGAACAAAAGCUACAAUGUUUUGUGUGCCUUCAAAUUUAGCCUGCUUUAUCGUUUGAUACAAAAUGCAAAAUCUGUUUUUUAAAUGCAGUGCCUUCCAAUCACCAUUGAUGUGGGUACAAACAAUCAAAAGUUGCUAAAUGAUGAAUUCUACAUCGGCCUUAAACAGCGAAGGGCAACUGGCCAGGUUUACUAAUCUCUUUCCUAUUAUGGCUUUUGUCUUCUUAUAACCAGUUCAAAUGAGUAUUUUAGAAACUGAGAAGCCUGCUUGUUUCUUUUUGUGAUUUCAGGAAUAUGCAGAGUUUCUGCAUGAGUUCAUGUGCGCUGUUAAGCAGAACUAUGGAGAGAAAGUGUUGGUACAGGUGAGCCAUAGGAUCAUUUCUGCUAAGAACUAUGAUUGUUGUAUUGAAUUUUUGAUAUUGGUUCUAAGAUAUAUAAUAAUAUCAUACAUAUUCUUCUUUUCAGUUUGAAGAUUUUGCAAACCACAAUGCGUUUGACCUUCUGUCCAAGUACAGCACCACUCAUCUUGUCUUCAAUGACGAUAUCCAGGUAACAUCUUUUCCUCAAGAUUGAUUUUUUUUUGUUCAAGGUGUCAGAGAGCUAACGUUAUCAAGAACUUGUUUCUGUCUUGCGUGAUUUCAGGGUACUGCAUCAGUGGUGCUUGCUGGGCUUAUUGCCGCUCAGAAAGUGCUUGGUAAAAAGCUGGCUGACCAUACCUUCUUGUUCUUGGGUGCCGGAGAGGUGAGACCAAUAAGCAUUAUACUCUAUAAGCUUAUCAUUUCUCUUGCAUAUAUGUUUUGCUGCUUACGCUUUAUCUCUUUGGUUCUUUGAAAGGCUGGAACCGGUAUCGCUGAGCUAAUUGCUCUUAAGAUUUCGAGAGAGGUUAGUAAAAUGUGGGACAUUUCUUGCAUUUGCUCUGUUUUCUGGCUAAGAAUAUGUGAUUGAUCCUAUCCUGGUUGUUUUUUUAGACUGGAGCUCCCAUCGAUGAGACCCGGAAGAAGAUUUGGCUCGUGGACUCCAAGGUUUUGUUGGCAACCACCCAAAAUCAGGCUUAUCUUCUGUAGGUAACCAGUUCUUGAUCACUUAUGUUCCUCUUUUGAAUAUUUAUUUGCAGGGACUGAUCGUUAGCUCGCGCAAAGAAUCGCUUCAGCACUUCAAGCAGCCAUGGGCGCAUGAGCACGAACCUGUCAAGGAUCUCAUUGGUGCUGUGAAUGUACGCGAUGAACCCAUCUUUAAAUCGCUUGAUGGUUGAUUAAUAGAGAAUCUUGGUGUUAGAUUUUCUAAUUCUUGUAUUCACUCUUUGUUGAAACUUUGUCAAACAGGCAAUCAAGCCAACAGUUCUCAUUGGAACCUCUGGUGUGGGUCAGACUUUCACAAAGGAAGUUGUAGAGGCCAUGGCUACCAACAACGAGGUUUCUUCUUGUUCUUCCUCUCUGAUUUCUCAAAAAAUAAGGUAUCUAUGCGAUUCUUAUGCUGGUUUUAAUUGGUGUUGCCUUACAGAAACCGUUGAUUCUUGCUCUUUCAAACCCUACUUCUCAAGCUGAGUGUACUGCAGAACAGGCUUACACAUGGAGCAAGGUAUCUCCUCUCUUAUGACAUCUGAAUGUGGUUCAUGUCCUGAUUAUAACAAACUGUAAUUUUGAAUUUGAUGCGGCUCUCAAGUCUGAUACUAAUUUUGUGCUUAAAAAUAGGGUCGUGCAAUCUUUGGUAGUGGAAGCCCGUUUGAUCCUGUUGAGUACAAUGGAAAAACUUACUUGCCUGGCCAGGUUUGUGAUAUUUCCAUAAUAUUUUUCUCCUGUCAAUUUGUAAUUCUGUGACAACCUGAAUGCUCACAUCAUAUUUCCAUAACCCUAAACUUCACUUCAGGCAAACAACUGUUACAUAUUCCCGGGUCUUGGCCUUGGUUUGAUCAUGUCCGGCGCAAUUCGUGUCCGUGAUGACAUGCUCCUCGCAGCCUGUAAGUAUUAAUGACUCCCUUAACUUUUUCUAUGCACAACACCAUAGAUGUUGCAAGAUUUUUCCAUUUCUCCGAAUCCAAGCAUUCCCCAAAACAGAACAUUGGAAUAUAGACUUAAGAGUCUAUUUCAUCUUCUUGAAACUGAAGGACACUACAAGAUCUCAAUAAAACUCUUUGUAACUGUCUCCUCUCUCUCUGUUCUAUCAACAGCUGAAGCAUUGGCCGCCCAAGUCACAGAAGAGAACUUCGCCAACGGUCUGAUAUACCCGCCAUUCUCAAACAUCAGACAGAUCUCUGCUAACAUUGCAGCCAAUGUCGCCGCUAAAACCUAUGACCUCGGUUAGUUCUAUUCAUUUCCCUCCAUCAAUGCAACUGUCUUUAACUCUCUACCACAAGUUCUUUAUUCUUUGUUUUUUUUUUGUUAAAGCACAAGUUCUUGACUUAAAUAAAUUAUGCUGAUAAUGUGUAUUUGUGGUGUAUAGGAUUGGCGUCGAACCUCCCGCGUGCAGCGGAUCUAGUAAAGUUUGCAGAGAGCUGCAUGUACAGCCCUGUCUACAGAAACUACCGUUAAAAUUUUAAGAAGCCUGCAGAUUCUUGUAUUAACAACCUUUAUUGUUCUUAAGGCUUGUAUAAGUGUUGUUGUUGUCUUGUUUUUGUUUUCUACUUGUUCUGCAUUAUGAUGUUUGCGCACACUCUCUUUUUUUUCUUUGCUUCUUGUUUGAGGAAUAAUAAUAAUAAAUUUAAUUUUACCAAGUAUUUAUUGUCUUAAGAAAGCUACAUUUUCACCACACAAUUACUAGUCUUAAUGGGAACUUACUUUGUUAUCUUAAGAAUCUUUAGUAUCUUGUGGCCUGAAACUAGAGGGGGGAAUUAUUAUUUGCACUGCACUAUGAAGUAGUAAAUUGGCAUUUUCCACUGCAUAAUUGAUAAACCAGAAGAUGUGAAAACCGCAUCAUGUUAUAUGUUAGGAACCAUGUGGUCUUAAGUGAGGUAUCAUAUCUAGUAGUAUUUUUGUAUCAAACACUUCAUACAUGUUCAUAAGAAAACAGAAAAGCUUGUUAAGAACUAAAUCACCAUAAUCGGAAAUAAGAAAAAGAAAAACAGUCCAAUAAAUUGUCUUAACGCAACUCCCUUCAAAUAGAUAAAAACAGACAAAUGCCCAAUGGGCCGAGAAGUCAUGAGCAUUAAGCUUAAAAAAGCCCAUAUAGUGUUGUUGAAAUUGGAUUAAAUAAUUUUAUGCGCGGCGAAAUCGGAACACAAAAUAAGUUGAGGGACUACUGGUUAAAAUUUGUUAAGGGUAAACACGUUUUGUUUUUUUGUUUUAACCGCGGGAUCUUCUUGCAUCUGGAACAAGCGAGAAGCUGUAAUCAGAUCGCGCGUCCCUUUAUUUCCAUUUUUUUAAUCGUCUUCGUCAAAAUCUAAUUUCACCAAAUUCUCUUCCACCGAUCAAAUCCAUAUCAGGCGAUCAAGGUAUGUUCUUACAGAAAUUCUUCGCUUUCCUCGGAAAGUAGUAGUCUUCAGGAGGCCGGGUGAAAUUGUUUUCCCGGUGAUAUUACGCGCGCUGGCUUGCUUGAAAUUGAACUUGGAUCGCUCUGAGACUGCUUUCUUAUUGCUCUCAGAUUUUUGAUUCUUUUCUAAUUAUGAGAUUACAUGCUUUCUUUGCGGAUUGAUUUGGCUGUCAGUUAUUAUGGAACUCGUUUUGUAACUAAGGUAUUGUUUUGUAUAAUUAUUUGAGCGGUUUGAUUUUUAACAGAUAAAUCUCAAUGUGAUUGCUCUGUAUAAACCUGUUAAUGCUGAGUAAAAAUGAAAGGAUGUAUUUUUCAUAUCUGAAGUUGGAAGUCGAUAAUCAGUGGAUGUUCAAUCGGUUGCGGUUACUUCGUUCGAUCUAUGGUUACAAAUUGAUAUUUUGGAACGAGCUUCUUUGGAUUGAGUAAUAGAGGCGAUAUUAGUUUCACGUAUAUUAUGCGCUUGAGUUAUGAAGAAGUGAUCUUGGGUUUCAUGUUUCAUGUUUUUGGCUGAGCCUAUCCUCUAUUUAUGAACCUUUGAAUUGACUUUUGAUAAUAGGUUUCUUUGAAAUGUGUUCACAUUCUCAUUUGUAUGAUCAAUAAUGUCUUACAUGUUUUAUCCGGUGAUCAGGUUUUAACCAGCAAGGAAGAAUUGAGAUUUGAGAAGAAGAAUUUAAUUAUUUGUUUACCCGGCUUGAUCAAUUGAAACUGCAGUUCAUGGCGCUAAACCCCCAAUUACUACCCAAUGGGAUGCCUAUUCCCUUUGUGAAUGAAAUGUUUGUUCUAGUCAGAGAUGGGGUUGAGUUCGAAGUCGACAAGAUUCCUGGGUUCGUGUUUCCUUCUCCUAUCUUGCAUUUUUUGGAUCUGCUUCAGUGUUUUCUUGACUGUGGGUUUGGUUUGAUAAUUACUCUGCCGGGGGGUUUAUGAACCAAUAAUAUUCUUGUAAAGAAGACAAUUCCCAUAAAUAAACAGCCAUAUAGGUCUUAAACACUUUGCUGACGUUCUUUUUUGUUUGAUCCAGAGGACAUGGAGGUCAUGUUAAGGCUAAGGGAGUGAUGUACUUGUCUAACAUACGGCUAGUCUUUGUUGCAAGCAAGCCUGUUGAGAACUUUGUUGCUUUUGACAUGCCCCUGGUACGAUAUAUUAUCAUGUCUGUCGCUUAUUCGGUUAUUACAUGGCACAAUUACACUUCUAUUGAAUAUAUCCAUGCAUGCUGCUAUACAUAGUAGCUCUGGGAAUUUAUGGACUAUGCGUUACUCUAUGUUGUAGCUUUACAUCCACGCCGAGAAAUUCAACCAGCCAAUAUUCCACUGCAACAAUAUAUCUGGACAAGUGGAGCCUGUAAGUACAAGUUAGUUAUAAUGGGUGUUUUUUCAUUUUCCUUUGCGAGAAAACUACCAUAGGCAUUUGAUUUACAACCCUUUUGGCAUGUAAUAAAACUUUCAGGUGGUCCCAGAGAACGAGCAUAGAGCUCUAUAUUCAACACACAGUUUCAAGAUCCUGUUUAAAGAAGGUGGCUGCGGGACGUUUGUUCCUCUCUUCUUGAAUCUCAUAUCAUCAGUGAGACAAUACAAUCGACAAAUGCACCAAGCAGCAGAAGCAGCAGCGGCAGCAGCUCCACGUGUUGAUCCUCUUCAAGCUGCACAAACCCCGGUUGAUGAGAUGAUGAGACAUGCGUAAGUCCCUCUGAAUCAAACCAAAAGUGUUUGAUAGCAAUCAAAAACAUCAUGUUUCUGAGAGUCGUGUAUGGUGGUUAUAUGUGUAUGUGCAGGUACGUGGAUCCGAAUGAUCCAACGAAGAUAUAUCUGCAGCAGCCAUCAGGAGGGGAAUCUCAGCUGAGGCGGCGAGCCUACCAUUCGAAUGCAGGGGAACAUUGAUGAUAUCAAAACAUGAGAGUGAUGGGUACAUAGACAGCAACAGAUUAGUGUUGCAAAUAAGCAAACGCGUUGUAUGGUGUGUUUAAAGUUAAAAAAAAAACUAAAACAACUUUGUGUAAUGAGAAAAGAUAAAGACUUGAUGUGGGUUUAUCUGUUAAACUUUGAUUCUCUAUAAGUAAAAGUUUGGUUUGGUUAUACUGCGGAAAAUGAGGCGAUCAGAUGUGUGGCGGAUUAGCCUAGACUCUGACCCAUUAUGUUAGUCAAGGUUCCUUUCUCAAUCAGUCAAGUCCUUUCAAGUCAAAUAAAAAACGUCGAUAUAAUUUAGUUACAGAAUCCGUAUACACAGCAUAGUACUAUUGACGAUAUAAACCGAUUGGGAAUUUGAAAUUUAAACAAGAAGUAAAGUUACUUGCGUCGUUUAUACACAGAGUAAACUACUAAAUGAGGAGGAGAGGGAGAGGCAAGAGACAAAGGGAUUUUUAAGUGAGGAUCUCUAAUUGUUGAUCGAUUUGACCUUUAGAAACCCUAAGUUCGGGUGCUCUGUGCAGUCGCACAGCACAGUUUGAGCACCCUCUCUGAUCAGAAGCGACUUCAUCAACUAUAGGUCACUUGUAUCUGCUUCUUACUGGUUAGUCCCCGUUUGGUUUCCACUUACUCGUCGAUUAGUUUCUGUAAGGAUUUAUUUCCUGUAGUUGGAUUCUUGUGCUGGGCUCAGUACAUCAGCGAUAACUUGUAAGGAUUUCGUAGGUUCGAUUUUGUAAAUUAAUUGAUAAAGUGUCAGUAGUUUUGAAGCUCUAGUUUAUGGAACUAGGUCUUUGAAAUUUGCGGCGGUGUUCCGAGUUUAGCGUAUAAGAUUAUCGAAUGAUUGUUUAGUGUUGUGUCUCUGAUGACCCUUCAUCCUUGUCAUUGAAUCCUUGAGCUUCCUGUUGUUAUGUUCUUUCUUCAAAUAAAGAGCAUAAUGGUAAUAAUACUCUCUUCCGGCAAGGUGUUUCCCUUUAUAGUAUUGAUUGAUGAUGGAAACCCAGAAGAAAUCUCGAGAACGUAGCCUAUACCAUAUAGUUGAUGAUACCGGUGGGGCAUUUGGAAUGGGAGCUAUUGGAGGAUCUGUAGUUCAUUUCAUAAAAGGCACAUACAAUUCCCCGAAAGGUCGUCGUUUUGUUGGCGGAGCACAAGCGGUGAGCAUGAAUGCUCCUCGUAUAGGAGGCGCUUUUGCUGUAUUUGGAGGCUUGUUCUCCACAUUUGACUACACAUUGGUGUACAUCAGGAACAAGGAAGAUCCAUGGAACUCCAUCAUAGCUGGUGCUGCUACGGGAGGCUUUCUUUCAAUGCGUCAAGGGAUUGUUGCAGCUUCUAGAUCUGCGCUUAUGUGUGGGGUUUUGCUUGCUUUGUUCAAAGGGGUUCGUUAAUGUUGAACAAGUAAAGCCUUUUUUUUGGGGUUGUGAUUCGAUGAGCUUUCUCUCCCCAAAUCUUGGAAUCUAAAUACUGUACUCUUUGUAAAAUCAUUUUACAGUGUUAUUCUUUUUGUUUCUAAAAUAAUGUUCUUUCCGUCCAACACUGGCAAUGUCUCUCUGAUUCACUUCUCAUACUGGUUCUUUAUCCGAGUUACAGAGUCGAUUAGCAUUAUGACGAUUUUUGGUUUUACUCUUUGUAAGUUGUACAAUCUGUUUGACUUGUGUAAACAGUUGAUUUCUGAUCAUUUGGUACACAAUAAAUGUCGUGUAAUGACAACAUCAUCAAAAAUUGUAUUAUUCAUGAGUUGGUAGUUACACUUUUUUACGGAGAUGAAAAAUCUUUGGGAAGGGCAAGGCAGAGAAUAAAAAAGGCAAUGAGUCGCGAGUGUAGAAAAGAAAGAGAGCGAGCUCAUUGAGCUCAAAAGUCGAAAGUCAACUCCUCCAUGAUUAUCAUUUAUGACCAUUCUAAUAAAUAUUACUUUACGAAAAAAAAUAGAGCAAAAAAUGAAGACGCAAAUCCAUUUCUUGUUAAUAUUCACUAAAAACAAGUCAAAGAGUAUUGAGGCAGAAAUGAUAAACACAGCCCCAAGUAGAUAAGAUAGAUCAUUGGUUUCUCACUUAUUUACAUACAAACAUUAAGCAUCUUCACCAAUGCGACUAUCCAAAUGAAACCAAAGCAAAGACCAACUCUUUUUCCCCACCAAAAAACCCAACCAAGGAUCUUUAGAUUACAAGUUUUGUCCCUCUACAUUAUAUCCAUCAAAUAAGCUUGUUUCCUUUUUCUUUUCUUUCUGUUUCCCUUGACAAUCAGAGUUCCUUCUCUUUUGUAUCCUAAUUCUAUUCACCUAGAGUAAUAGAAUUACAAGAAGAGAAACAAACAAAACCCAAAAAAAAAAAAAAAACUGGGGCAGGGCUGUUUUAGAUUGUUCUCGAAAAAUUUACCUGACAAGACUUUGUUACGACUGCCAAAACAAAUCAUAAUCUUUACUAUACAACGAACGGUCUUGUAUCUCCAGGUUUGCUACAUGUCGAUUUAUGAGCUGCGAUUGCAUUAUCUUACACACGACCAGUCCCGCUGGAAAUAUCCACCAUUCACUUUCACCCCUGCAUCCCCCAAAAACGCACACACAUCAGAAACCCAAUAUACUAAAACGUAAGAUUGUCAGCGAGAGAGAGAGAGAGAGACUCCUUUUGGGUAUUACUUUGCAUAGUAAUUAAACUCACAUGUUUAUAUUCCACGGCUGAAAUGGGAUUUUCUUGCUAGCUGAUGAUUCGCUGUUAUAAUGAACAUAUCCGCAGAGAAAAGCAACAAACUGUCACAGAAACAAAGCUUGUCAGCUAACGUGAGACAUGCAACAUUUCCUAAAGAAUCAUCACCCACAAUCUCCACAGAUAUGACUAUUGAAUUCAUACUCAUGUGACGUGAACAUGAUGAAGUUAACAUUGCAUUUCUCAACAAAACAAGUUAUCAACAAUAUUUUUUUAACAAAAAAAACUAAACAAAAGAGAACAUACCACAUUGACUAAGGACAUGAAGUUCCACAAGGCGUAAACUCGUGCUAGGCCAGCAGAGCGUCUGGGUCCAUGACUGAAUAAGGCAUUGAUCCCAGCGGGAAAUGGCAAAAGCAAGCCGAGAGGUAAUAUGAACAAAGCCAAAAGUACAUCCAGCAAAGAAAUCGAAUACAGCUGGAGCAGUGUGAGCAAGACUAGACUAAAAUCUCCUAGAAGUAACAUCGAGAUAACUAAGCCAACCAUAUCCUGCAAUAUCACAAAAGAUAACAGAGGGAAGAGACAUUAAAAUUCUCGAAAACUUGGACGGCACAACAUAUAAGAAGACAUCCAUACUAUACGGAUUUUGAUAGGAGGUGUACCUGGUGGCCCACAGGUUUAGUGUUGUGAACUAAGAAAGAGAGAAGGAAAAACAAAUCUCUCUUCUCUUUCAGACUUGGUAAGCUGUCAAGGUCGAUUAUCCCUCCAUAGUUCUUUCUGCGUGUUGUAUAAUCCUCUGUGUUUGUGUGAGUUUGGUUGUAGAGCAUACUCUCUCUUAAAUGUGCUGGAGAAUUUUCUUUAUGUGCACUCACGCCGUAACUAGAAGUCACAAGCACAACAUAUCAAAACUUCGGAUAGCUAGAUAUAAAGUGCACGACGAAAACAUGCUAAUGUGGGACAUCACAAAAAAAAAAAAAAAAAAAAAUGUCUAAAGUGAUCUGCAUAAGGAAUCGUGAUCAUCUUAUUUAUCUAGAUUGCUCAGUUCACAUUUUAUAUUCAAAUUAAAACAACACAUCGCAUUCAAGAAUGGAUGGUAUCAUGACUAUAGUAACUACGAACAAUAGAAAGACAGACUUGAUCAAUUUAUAAUUUCUUUACCGUGGCUGGAUAUCAGUCCAUGCUGAUUCACUGACACACCGAGGUGAUGUUGAUUCACAAUCCUCAGCAGCAUGAAUCAAGAGACCAUAUUGGCAGUAACCACAAGCCGUAGUCUGGAACCAGGCAAGAUCAACCCGUAUGCCAUGUGUCUCCAAAGCAGGAUUAGCAUGAGUUUCUAACCAUCUCAAAACAGAAUGAAAUGUAGAUCUCAGACGCCCACGGUGAACAAGACGUAAUUGAGCAUUUACACCAGCCACCAGUCUGUACCAAGUAGUGGGCGGAACGAGCUGGGAAAAUAAAAACAAUGACAAAUAUCAAUACAACCUUUGACAUGGUCGCUAAAAACUGCCUCUCGUUAACUAAGGAACCAACCUGACUCAUCAGACUGGUAAGAAUGUUGUCAUUUUGAAGCGAGAAAGGAGCCAUGUAACUGCCAUCACCACCAAACAUUAUGGGCAUUGGAAACCUUUGUUGAAGCCGUGGUGGAAGGUCCGUCCUUUUUUCAUCUCCGCCAAGGAAGAAAUCCAGAUAUGCAAGCAUCAAAUCGGAGGUAGCAGCGACCUAUAUUUAUAAUAAAAAGUUUACUUAAGCUUAAAAAAAAAACUUAUCCAAGUAAAACGAAUCUGAUAUUUUUACAACUUGUAGCCCUGUUAAGCAAUUAUCAGAUCAAGUAAAUCAUAAACCAAUUACCUUCAGACCCUCGUAUAAAGCCCGGGAGCGACAGGAGCGUAAACAGGAAUGAUCAUAUUCUGAACGUACAAACUCACGCAAUCUUUGCAACUUCAACUUCCGCCGCCACUGCUGCCAUGACCACGCAAGCGGAUAUGCAACCACAGACAGAAUACUAUAUAUUGCACCUUCCCACCAUUGAUAUGCAGCUAUAGAGUUGAUUUCGUCGACAAAUGUGUUAAAUGCAGCCUCAUAUCUAAAGAACCCAAAACCAAUAAAAGAAUAUUUCAGAGCCAAGGUAACUUAUUAAUUAACUAUAGAGAAAACAAUGUGACACGGUCCCAAAUCAGCUUGGAAAUAUAAUAAGAAACAACUAACACUAUCUCUUUUAUCUCCUCCGGGGGGACAUGCGAGAGAUGCCAUGGCUCACUGAACGUAUUAGGACCCAUAAAAUACAUUCUAUGCACAUGACUCUGAGAUUGCUCUGCUCUAUUUGUUUCCAACACCUGACAAAAAAAUAACAUUAUAAACAGCACAACACUAGCAGGAGUGUUUGGCAGGUUAUUUUGUUCGAUCAUGCCUACUGGCCAUACAAUACUUGCAUCUGGAGUGACAAAUUAGCGAAUACAUAAAUCAUUCUUCAUUUGCCAGUAUCGAUGAACGCAGAAAAUAAGAAACAAACAGUUUUUAGAAAAUCAUCUAACCUCAUUUAGUGAUUCAAGGAAAGGGAAUGAAUGAUCUAUUUGAGAGCCAUGCUGCGUAGGAGCUGGGCCGGGUAAGUCAUCAACUCCAACAAAUUUCAUUCGUGCAACGCUAAGUACAAGUGCUAAGAGGAUGAGAAGACCCAUCAGAAGAAAACCAAACAACCAGGGCCCACCAAAUGUGUAAAUUAACUCCUCCAGAGCGGUGUAACAGUGUGGCAUGUGAUACCUUUCCGAUAUACAUCGAUACGGACAUGGUGUCUCAGAAACACCACCUGUAUUAAGCAUAGAAAAUCCCAAGGCUUAUAAUUGAGACAUGAACAUUUCUAGCACCAGUUUAGAGGUACGGAAUGAGUAAGAAAACAAGAUCAUAUCCAACGUAAAUAAAGAGUUAUCUUGUAUUAUCGUGGAAAAAUGAAUAGAAAUCAAUUUUAGGCUAGGUAGUAGAACAGGAAACAACACUUUUGACUGACAGUUUAGACAAAUCUAUAGCACAUAUUUAAUACAAAAGAGAAGAUAUUUGCGAACGUCAUGUAUACCUCGAACUGGGAGAUAGACAGCACGAGUUGGAAGCUCAUCGACGGGACAAGGACGGCAAAGAGACGUGUCAGAUCCAGUAACAUUCUUAAAUGUACCAGAUGGACAUUCCUGGAGAAAAUAAUAGGGUUAAGAUUACAAUGAGCGUAAAAAACUAUUAACAAUUCAACAGCGAUAAGCUAACAAAAGGCAAAUAGACCCCUGUGAUAUUAUAGAGCAGGAAGAUGUUGAACCAAGUUUUCCUAACCUUGCAAAAUAUACCGUGGAGUCCCUUUGGACAAGGCGUCCCAGUUAUUGUGCCAUUUUUACCAGAAAAACCAUCAUCUACUGCCCCUCCCCCCCUACAAUUGCAAAAAAGAAACAGUGUGUUGAUGUGACAGGCUAUAAACAAUAUCAAUUAAUAACAUGGAAAUGGAAAAUGUAGUCAAUGACGGGAAAAAAUACGAAUGCCAAAACAGGUUAAUGAUCAUGCGAAAUGCAUAGGUAUUUAGAGGACAGACCGAGCAUGGAUUAUUCCUUGAACACUAGCAAUAGGCUGGUAUAUGUCCCCAGUGGGAAUGUUUGACCAAUGAAAAUGAAUCCUCCCACCUCCGCCGCCACCACCACCUGAAGGACUGCCAGACCCACCAGCACUUGAGAGAAGAGACGACUCUCCUAACAUAAGAUAACGCAGGAACAAAAGAACUGUUCCACCAGAGCCACCACCAGGUGCUACAAUAGAACCGUUUUCAUCUCUGCCCAAACGUUUGACAUUUUCUCCAUCAGCCCUUAUCGAGCCAUCAAGUGAUAAACCAGAUAGAGGCUGCUCCAUUGAACCAAUCACUGACCAGAUUCAAAAGAAAAGAAAGAACAGGUUAAAAGGUAUCAUCUUGAAAGCACUACGCAUGCAUUGUAGUGCAUGGCUUAAAUGAUGACAAGCUUCAAUAACAUGAACGGGAUAUAAUCCAUACACGCGGAAUAUGAAUAGUUAAUAGUCUGCAUCAUACAUUUUGCAUCAAGUCCUAUGACGAACAACCUAAUCUCUCAAGUUUAACAGAACUCCAGAAUCAUCAACAUCUCUGACAUUUCAUACCUACAAUACCACCACCAGCAGAUGAAUAACCCGGGCUAUAAUCACCACUUCCACUGCCAAGCUCACAAGGGAGAUCUGCAUUUCCAUACGUAAUUCCACCUUCAACACAGCUGCUAUUGUUACAUACACGGCCCCCUUUACCACCAUGCCCACCACCACUGCCAAUACCAUUUCCAAGCAAUUUACCUUCACCCACACCACCUCUACAACCUGUAAAACACAUAAAAAUUGCAUAUGUAUGUUGCUAAGAAAAAACAUUAAAAAGAACAUAAGACCAUAUCAUCUUCUCCCUAAAUGGAGAAUGGGUAGCACCUUAAAUCUUAUAUGGGGGGACUAAGCCAAGGACAAGCCCAUAUGACAUGUAGAAGUAGAAUGCGCGAUCGAAACAAAAUCUAAAAAGAAAAAUAGGUAUUGUUACCCAUUCCACUGGCACUAAUCUCUCCAGAGGGUUCGAGGGUAACUGUUUUUGCGCGAUGGAAAUGAACUACUGAUCCUUUGAUGAAACCUUCGACUAGAAUAUCCUCAACUCGGCAUAUCUAGGAAGAAAGAAAAGUUAUCAGAACUUCUAGAAAGAAAGAAAAGUUAUCAGAACUUUCAAGCAGAGCUUCUAGAAAGAAAGACAAGUUAUCAGAACUUUCAUGAUAGAGCAUGCUAGUUCAAGUACAGCAGAAAUACCUGUAGAGUAAAGGACAGAGAUGAAUUGACAUUGCAAUCCUCUGGUGGAUUCAGUAGUUCAUAGGGGCAAUCUUGCCGAUCACAAUAGAGCUUUGGUGUACUGCAAAGGCGUGAGUUCAAUUAUUGUUAGCUCAUCUUAUCUCUGAAGUUGAAUGAAACUAAGCAUAAAUAUGGGCAUUUUCCCUCAAACUUACACAGCAUCUCGGGAUGCAUUCAGAAGAGGAGCACGCAAAAUAGAUCCGGGCCCAACCUUCAAUCACCAAAAAAAAAAGUCACUAUCUCCUCAAGUACCUUUCUACGUCUAUUAUUUAGAAGCAAAUAUGGCUUUCAAAGAAACCGAUAGUCAAAAUAUGCCUGUAUUCACUGCAUUUUCAGAGCUAUACACACUAGCUAUUCUUGCAUCUGCACAAAUAGCCAUCUAAUGCAGAAUUGUCACCUAAAUAAACACAAGGAAACCCCUUACAUAAAUCCGGUAAAACAGUGAUAAAACAAGCCGUUGUGCUUCAAUGGAAUCCCCUGGUCCCGUUAGAUUCAAGAAACCCUGCCCAUGGACUCCAAGAUUUGCAUUUGACCGAAUUACAGAUGAUUCCUAUAUUUAGUUUGACAGGUCACACAAACAAAUUAGACGUAACGGUAUGUCACAAAUUACUUGAAGGAGAAAAAUAAUGACAUGCAUUUGUGAGUACCCUAAGAACGAAUAAAUUGCUAGCCUCAAGUAUGGAAGUCGAAACACUUGUAUCUCCUCCUCCUCCAUCAAUAUGCAACUCUGAAUUCCACAUCAAGAACAUCUUGACAGUCAUGCGUAAAGCCCCGUAAACCUGGUACGUACCAAUAAACACAGAGCAUGAUGAAACAAUGAUUUACGUGAGAACCAACAUAGGAUGUGGAAUAUCAUAAAAGGCCAGGUAAAGCAAGAAUGAAACUGAUACUAGCAACACAGAUAUAUUCAUUACACACACAAUGCUGCUGCAUUUUAAUAUCUCAAAAAGGUGGAGAACCAGGAUAAGACUCACCUUGAUAGUGGAAUCACUCAUUAAGAGUUCUUCAGCCAACAACUCGAAUACUGAUGUACCAUAAUGUGAUAAUCCGAAGCUCAAAACACCACCGCCCAACAAACUAAUCUGUCCUUGAACCUACAAAUUGAAUUCUGUUUUAGAACUACAUAUUUGAAUCUAAUAUGCUGAAAACUGAAAAAUCCACUGAAUACCUAAAAAUGCAUAUAUAGAGGCAACACAAAACUGUAGAGAAAAGACACUAGAAUUGCAGGAAAAAAAAAACACUAUAUCCUCGUAUAUAAAACCACUAAUAGUCCUAGCAUUGACACUGCUAAAGGUGAUGAAACAAUUAGCCUACCAAGCCCAUGUACUGGAAAUUCAUUUUCUAAAUACCUGGACACGGCUCCAUAGCAGAGGACAAGUUGCUCGCGCUUUAUCCUGAAUAUAAACAUUGGUCCAAAGAGGCUGGAAGGGAAAUUCUAAGAGAAGCGUAUAAGUAUCUGUCGUCAGAUUAUAGUUGCUAACGAAAAGGCUUCGAGGAACAGCAUCGUAUAGCGUCCCAGCAGCACCUGAGUUAUCUGGACAUCCGAUACUGUGUCCACCUGCAUGUAGAAGAAUGAAAUCAGUUCACAUGAUUGAAGAUGUUAAGCAAGUAUGUAUUUGAAAUACUCUCGAAAAAAAAAAAACUAUCAAGGAGAUGUGAAGUGUGCAGAUGUAAACAAAAUAACUAAGUUAAGAUCCAACAGAUUCCGCAACUAAUAGUCCUUAAGAAAAAAAGUAUAAAGGAGAUGAAGAAUUUUGCUGUGAUGAUUAAUCACCGAGAAAAUGGAACUAUAGCAUACAAUUUCCUGGCUCAUACUUUAAGACCCCAAUAGAUUUAGCAAGAGUUACAGAUCUGGAGGUAAGGAUGUUAUUACGAUAGUCAGAAAGAAAUAGUGACCUCCUAAGGAAGAGAAUCUAACCAUGCACAAAGAUCUUCGGGUCAUCAUGCCUGCUAAAAAUAUCGACAGAUACUCUUCCACCACCCCCACCACCGUAACCACUCCCACCACAUGCACUGAUCUGUCCAAUUCCAGUCCUGCACUUCAAAUAACAGCAAAGCAGAGGAUGCAAGCUGAGAUCAGUUAACCAAGAAUUUGAGAGGACAAAAGGCUUACUACCAAUCUUUGAUAUAAGCACAGAAAGUGCGUAGUUUCAUAUCUACCAUACAACAACAAACACCAAAUUGCAGAGAGUUAUGAGCAAAAACUAAAAUCUUUAUAGAUCAAUAUAUCAUGAAUAUUUCCAAAUGAGAACAGAAAUCGAUAAGCACAGUUCAAGCAUAUCAAACCAUGAAAAGAAAGUUCAUUUUCUUCACUGCAGAGAAGAAAGACUUGAGUGGAAAUGAAAUUAACAAUCAAUGAAAGAGAGCAUAGAAACGAAAGUUCAUUACAUCUUAUAUGCCGUGAUGAAGAUGCUGCCACCAGACCCACCACCGCCUUUGGCUCCUCCAUCACCUCCGUCUGCCAAAAGGCUUCCGUUAACAUCCAGAAACUGCAGAAUAUUCAUCUUCACUCUCCCGCCUCCUCCUCCUCCAUAAUCAAUCUCCCUGCUCGUUGACCCGCCUUUACUACCGUAGCUCCACGGCUUAUUUAGAGUUGACCAGGAGUAUGCAUCACCUCCCCACACAUCUUCGGGAAGCUUCUUAGUGUCGGUCAAACAGCAAGCGCCUCUACCACCAUGUCCACCACCAGCACCAUCAAUCCCCUGCGGCGUUCCGCUGGUCUGUGGCGGAGGGUUCCCGGCUAAGCCCGUCGUGUUCACAGCGGACCCGUCGGCAAAGCUAGCGUUACCAGCUGAAAGGUCCAAUGUCCCAGCGACAAUUGUAGAUUCCGCGCCCAGAGAGAAGUUCCCAGAAACAUUGAUAGCUAUGGAGCAUCCGGGGAUCGGGCAGUGAAACUUAACCCCGGGUAGGAUGAUAAAAUUACCCUUCCCAGCUAUAUAAACAUCGUGCGUAAGAUUCAAAUCGGCAACAAUCUUACAAGUAGUAUCCAAGAAUCCAACGCCGCCGAGAUCCUCGUUGCAGGAUACAGAAGGUCCGUGCGGAGGUGGCGGUGGCGGAGCCGGCGGCGAGUAAUCCUGAUGGAAAAGCAGCGACUCUGAAUCCGGGUCCAAACCCGAAUCAAAACCCGAAUUCGGUUCCACAAUGGCGAAUCGAUAGCUUGAACUAGGGUUUACGGCAAAAACCGCAAUAGCGACCACAGAGAAGAAGAAGAGGAAUCGAAAUCGAGCCAUCCACUAGUAUCAAGAGUCAUCACAGACGAAGUCCAGUAAGGUUUUCGAUUCGACCCCAAUUCGGGUCAUUGAGCAUAGGGUUGACGAAACUGAAAACUCAGAGAACCCAAUAAACAAACCCUCCCUCUCUAAUUCACCACACACACACCUAUGCAUACAUCAACAUACACAUAUAUGUAUGCAUGUACACGUCUAGUCGUCUUGCACAAGAAGAUUUGAAGAAAAGCGCAUAAACCCCCACCGAAAAUAUGGCUCUUAGAGAGAGAAAUGUUGCUUUUCUUUUCUCGGAAGAGAGAGAAAGAGAGGGAAGAGAGCUUCCAAGAAGAAGGAAACAGGUUGGAACGGAGAGUAGUUACGAUCAGGUACGUGCGGCUUCACCGUAAUCACGAAAAAUCAGCUUAAUCUUUUCUUUUGGCUAUAACAAAUCAUAUUACGCCACGUCGUUCUUUCAGAUUGGCCUCAAAGGUAAUGCUACUCUGUAUCGUCUGUUCACAUGGAACUGGAAGUGUCAGCUGAAUCUUAAAUUUAUUUUCACAUCGAAUUGUUUCGUGACAUGUGUCAAAUUACAUGUAAUUAUCGCUUUGUUGUUUCGUUUAAGGGGUUAAUGACUCUGGAUUUAAAAGACUUAAAAACGUCAGGGCAUACGUUCAGACAUUAAAGGGCGUUUAGAGUGGGGCUAGAUGGGCCCCGUUUCCGAAGGAGUAAAGCUUGAUAGACACGUGCCAAGCUUGAGUGUGAGUGUUCAAUUUUGAGAAACAGAAACGAAAAACGAAAGGCGUGUGACUUGGACCAAGUAAAAACAAAAACUAACAAAUCUGGCUGGCCCAAUAGAAAACUAGCAGCAUUAUCAAAUCCCAAAGUAAGCCAAUCCAAAUUUUUACGUCUGGACCCAAAAUUUUACGAUUUGGAUCAUAUUUCCAUUUUUUCGCUAGAUGAAAUGAGAAUGGACCAAAUCGUCUUUAUAUGACUUUUAAUUUUAAAAGAUGUUUCAGCCAAAAUGAUAUGUAUAUAUAGAUGUGUAUGCUAAACAACUUAUAGCUAUGAUUUAAACAACUUAUAGCUAUACCAUUCACAAAUUAAAAUCUUUAUGAUGAGGAUAUACUUAUUACAUGAGACAUGGCUUGGGGAUCAAAAUCUACAUCACACGUUGAGAUAGAUUUCAUACGUGAAACUAGGCCUAAAAGCUCAUCAAUUUCAGAGUAGUUAUACCGAUGUAUCUUCAAUAUAUUAAAGUUAUACUGAAAUCUGCGGAGUCAAGUCGGGCAUGUUAUUUAAUUUAAAAAUACAGAAGAGACUAGAGUUUGACAUGGGCUAUAUAGGAAUAGCUGGCACUUUAUGUACUUUACCAGCUACAUUAUCAUCACUAAAACAUGUUUUUCGACAUCGUUGUAUUUUCUGGAUCAAUUAACACAAAAAUUCAAUUCAUCAAUGCAAAUCUAUAUUUACAUCCGAUUCAUAUAGAAAAUAUAGUUAUCAGUUCUCAAUUUUAGACAUAGAAGUUUCAAGGAUAGAAUGAUUCGCUUGUAUGAAAGUGUCUCACUAAAUCAAAUUGAUGUUACGUAGUUACUUUUAAUUAAUGGGUACGAGAUUAAAAACAAAACCAAUUUGACUUACAUAUGACUCAUCACGCUGACUUCUUCAAUACCUAUUCUCCUUUAGCUAUAGUAAUUUGUUGGCUAUAACGUCAUUUGCUCAAACUUAUCUGACCAAUAUCGUAGUAGUUCGUGUAAUCAUAUUUGGAUACAAAUUCCUCUUAAUGUGAAACUAAGUAGGUAGUGUCAUCGAAAGAUAAAACCACCCAUACGCACGAGUUUCGGCUUGUACCGAUCGGAUACCGGUCAGGUCGUCUUACCCACGAGUUAUUUGACGGCUUUAAAAAAAGAACUACGCGAAAAAUCGAUUUUUAAGUGCUAAAUUUUUGUUGUGGUUGCGUUUCCCCCAAAAAAAAGAAAGAAGAACAAAACACAUAAAUAAAUAAAUAACGAGUCAUCCCUGAUCAGAUCUACACUUCUCCUCACACCAAAAUUUGCCGAAUUUCGUUCCUUUGUUCAUAGCAUUUUCGCGGAUUCGAAAUGGAUUUCAUGAAGGUCUUCGAUCAAACGGUUCGAGAGAUGUGGGUUUUCCGUUCUGUCUAUCUAUUCUUCUUCGAUUUCGAUAGGAUAGGUUUCAUUUCGAUUCAAAUCCGUAGAUCCUCGGUUGAUAUCUUCGAUUGAUCUCGAUUUCAUUUUUCACUUACAGAAAGAGGGAGGUGAAUCUCAAAGUUUUGAAGGUCCCUGAGAUGGAGCAAAAGGUGAUUUCAUUUGAUUCGUAUCUAUCUUUAUUUGCCAAGUGAUUGCAUGUUGCUUGAUAAAUUGAAUUCAAAACUUUAUAUAGGGAUAGCGAUUGCACCAAAUGAAAAUCUUGCUAGACACUAAUCCCGAGCACUUGAGCUGGAUUUGUUAUGAUUCCGUGUUCUGAUGCUGAAUGUGUUCUUAAGCUGUUAUUUUCUGAUGCUGUAGCCGAAAUUAGAUCCAUCAUCCGGACUCAGAAAUCUUGAGUUUCAGUUUAAUGGAGAACAAUUUAAUCCUAUGUAGUAUCCUAGUUUCCGAGAUAUUCUGUUUGAUCACGUCUUCUAAUUCGGUUUGUUCAUAUGGAGUUCUGUGAUAAUUUUUAAUAAAUAUAUGGUUAUGUUUAGUACAGGUAUUGGAUGCUACAGAUAAUGAGCCUUGGGGUCCACAUGGUACUGCAUUGGCAGAGAUAGCACAGGCCACAAAGAAAUUGUAAUCUAUGGAUUCACCUUCUUUCUUGAUUUUUGUUCUUCCAAAACCAUUCACUUCGACAUCUCAUUCAACUUGGAUUUAUAUUUUACUUACCUUGUACGUUUUCAUUAUGUUUAGCUCGGAGUGCCAGAUGGUUAUGAGUGUUUUGUGGACUAGACUGAGUGAGACAGGAAAGGAUUGGCGAUAUGUCUACAAGGUGAGAAUCUUCUUGACAUUUUUCUGCAAUAUUUGAAAGUUACAGUUUAUAAUUUUGUGUAACCCGAGGUUGUGUCUUUUUAUUGCCAGGCACUGGCUGUUAUUGAUUAUCUGAUUUCAAACGGAUCAGAACGAGCAGUUGAUGAGAUUAUUGAGCAUACUUACCAAAUAUCUGUCAGUUUCUCUUACACAUUUAUUGGUCGUUUUCUUGUGAUGGGCGUUGUGGUUUUCUACUGACAUGAUCUUUUUUUUUUGUUAUUUGUCAUUCAUGUAGUCACUCACGAGUUUUGAGUAUGUUGAACCGAAUGGAAAAGAUUUGGGAAUCAAUGUGAGAAAGAAGGCUGAAAACAUAGUCGCUCUCUUGAAUAACAAGGAGAAAAUAUCAGAAAUCAGAGACAAAGCAACAGCAAAUCGUAACAAGUUAGUCUUUAUGCAAGUGAAUAUAAUUUGUUUGCGUGUUUUUCUUUAUGCGUUGCCUUAAUCGGUCUUGCUGCCUCCAAUUAGGUAUGUUGGCCUCUCGUCAACAGGAAUAACAUAUAAGUCUGGUUCAGCUUCAUCUUCAUUUGGUGGUAGUUUUCAAAGUGGUUCAAGCAAUUAUGAUAGCUACAGGGAUAGAGAUUCCAGAGAAGAAGACAAGAACGACUACGAGUCUUUUCAGAAGUCAAGGCGCGGUGUUAAAAGUGAAGAGCAAAGCUACACAUCAAAGAAAAGUUUUUCACGCUAUGGCAGGUUUUGUUCAACCCCAUUGAUUUGCUGAUGUUAUUAUCUUCAUUAUGGAUUUUGGGUAAUUCGUCAAUUUAAGAUGUUUUUUGUCAGUUGAGAAUGCUCGUAUGCUUCCUUUUUUUUUACUCAUUUUGCAUCUGCUCUUCUCUGGUGUUUUGAUCAAAUUAAUCUUGCAUUCUUGCUCAGUUGGUUUCAAUUCUGAAUGUGCAGCACGGACCAUGAUAAUGUAUCUGGUGGAAAAAAGUCAUCCGACUCUGGCAAACAUAGUUCCAUACCUUCACAUGCAUCUGCAGCUCCUUCAAACAACGAUAAUGAUUUUGAUGAUUUUGAUCCACGUGGAACUUCCAGCAAUAGUAUGUUCCUUUCAACGGCUGCUGAACUUGCAGAUUGGUUAACUGGAGUAGAGUUUGUUUAGUAAAUAAUAGAGCACAACAUGUAUAUAUCUAUAGAGAAUGUAUGUCCAUCUCUUAUUUGUAUGGCUUUUCUUUUCUGCAGAGCCUUCCACAGGCAGUGCCAACCAAGUGGACCUUUUUGGAACAGAUCUGAUUGGUGACCUCUUAGAUUCUGGGCCAACUGAAACAUCUUCCACCAACAACAACGGAAAGUUUCAAGAGGCGGACUUGUUUGCUGAUGCAACUUUUGUAUCAGCCUCUGCUCAGGGAACAGAAUUUGGGUCGCCGGCACAGGUGGGUGACUUCUUUUCAUCCAAGCUGGUGUACGGCUUUUCACAAUGGAAAUAUUCCUUAUUUAGUGUACAUUUAUGUGAUGCAAUUUCGCAAUGCCUGACAAACACGUUCAUUUUUUCGCUGUUGAGGUUAUUAGACCUCGCAAUGACUUGUCCUGUUGAAUCGUAGACUGAUAUGUUUCCGCAUGUCUGCUCCUACAGAAGGAGGUUGAUCUUUUCUCUGCGUCUGAACCUUCUGCCACAGUUACUCCAGCUCCUCAGACGGUUGAUCUUUUUGCAUCUCCUGAAUCAAUUGCACGCCCAGAAGCCAAGAUUCCUAAACCUGAGUCUACGACCACUCCCAACAUUGUUGACCCAUUUGCUGCAGUUCCUAUGGAAAACUUUGAUGGAUCUGAUCCUUUUGGUGCCUUCACUUCUCACUCGUCUUCAGUCUCUACAGGCCCACAGGUUCCAGUUGUACAUGGGAGUGCAACAAACACCACAAGUCCAAUGUCUUUGGCAGACUCGAAGCCACAACAGUUGCAAAAGAAGGAUCCUUUCCAGGUGAAAUCUGGAAUUUGGGCAGAUUCGCUGAGCCGUGGACUAAUUGAUCUUAAUAUAAGUGCUCGUAAGUCAAAGCUCCCUCUUUAUGUUUUUCAUCAGAUUAGUUUCUUUCUUGAAUUAUAUGCGUAUGAAACCCAAAGGCAUGGUGAAUCAGUUACUUUCUACAUUACACCAGUAAAAAUUCUUCGCUCACAUAGAGUUUCCAAUAUCAUGUAUUUGACUUCGCACUGUGUCAAGACAAAUAAUUUGUCGGGUUUUGCUUUCCAAGUCCCGUUUUGGACCUGACUAUUCAUUGUUCUCUGUAAUCAGCCAAAAAGGCUUCUCUUGCUGAUGUGGGCGUUGUGGGUGAUUUGAGCAAUGAUGAAGGGAACAAAGGAUCUGCUGCUGCGUACUACUCAGGGUGGUCCAUGGGCGCAGGAUCAGGGCUCGGUAAAACCGGAGUAUACAGUGCACAGCAGCAACAACAACAAGCACCUGAAAUCUCAGAUGAUUUCUUUUCCAGCCUCAGUAACCAAAGGUACCAAACUGGAGGCUUUAAGCAGUGAAUUUGUCUGGGAUAUCAGGCUUGAUUCUACUACAUUUGUACUGGAGAUCUAUGUUUUUGUUUUUACUGGGGAUUCUCGCUCUUAAUUGAUGGGACAAUUUGGUCGGUGGCUGAUGUGCCAUUGUUGUUGUGGCAUUUACUUUGCGAUUUAAAUGAGAGAGAAUUGUUUAUGGGAUUUAAGUUUUGUUUUGUUCAUAGAACAAAAAAGUAUAUGUAUUUCGUCCGACUCUACGGAGAAUUUAUCGUGUGUGAUUCUUAAUCAGAAGAGAUUCAAUAGACUCCAUCUUUCUUCAUAGCUUUGUUUUAUUAUCUACUUUGUCUUUAUCUAAUCAAUUGUAUAUCACGCUUUACACAUUUUGGUUCGCUCAUUCACUGGUCACAAAAUUCAUAAAAUAUAGGUAAAUCUUAUCUACAGUACAAAGAAAAUGCGUAGUGGGGACCCAAAAAAAAAAACUUUGAUGAAGAGAAAACAAAAAAAAAAAGUCUGAAACCAAAAAUCAAAAUGUCACCACUUCAGUGGUUUCCUACUAUCCUCAUCGUUGUCGUCGUCUUCUUCUGGAGCUUACCUUUGCCCUCACAUGGAAGCUCACAAGUAUUAGCAGAAGAUGAAGAAGUCACAGUCGUUGGAUACGGCUACGUCGUCAGAUCAGUGGCCGUUAAUUCCAACCAGAAGGUUUUGACGGCGAAGCUUGAUUUGAUCAAACCAUCGUCCGUUUACGCACCAGAUAUUCAAACACUUAGCCUUCAUGUCAGGUGAUAAUAGUCGUCUCUCUCUAAUCAAUCUCCAGAAUUUUUAAAUUUGGCUUAUUAUUUUUCAAGUUCAGUUUGAAAUUUGCGAUAAUUUGGGAAAGUUCCGCCAUUAAAUGGAAUGAUGUAUAUAUAUGUGCAGCUUGGAGACAAGUGAGCGUUUGAGAAUCAGACUCAGGGAUUCUAGUCAACAAAGAUGGGAGAUACCGGAAACCGUAAUUUCUCGCGCCGGAAACCACUCUCUACGCCGUUUCUUACCGGAAGAGGGCGGAGGAAACUCGUCGGAGAACAAUAUCCUGGAAGAUCCAUCAUCGGACUUAGUUUUCACCCUCCACAACACCACGCCCUUCGGUUUCUCCAUUUCCAGAAGAUCCUCCGGCGAUGUCCUCUUCGACACAUCGCCGGAUCCAUCAGAUCCAAACACUUACUUCGUCUUCAAAGACCAAUUCCUUCAACUAUCUUCCGCGUUACCGGAAAACCGAUCGAAUCUGUACGGUCUCGGAGAGCACACGAAGCGAUCGUUCAGGCUAAAACCCGGCGACACCAUGACUAUGUGGAACGCCGACAUCGGCAGCGAGCAUCCCGAUGUCAACCUUUACGGAUCGCACCCGUUCUACAUCGACGUAAGAGGAUCAAACGGCCACGAUGAAGCAGGGACGACUCACGGCGUUCUCUUGCUGAACAGCAACGGAAUGGACGUGAGGUAUGAGGGAAAUCGGAUUACUUAUAAUGUGAUCGGCGGUAUCAUUGAUCUCUAUGUGUUCGCCGGACCAUCGCCGGAAAUGGUGAUGAAUCAGUAUACAGGGUUUAUCGGAAGACCUGCACCUAUGCCUUACUGGUCAUUUGGUAAGAGACGUUUGCUCUGUGCAUUUAUUUGUGAAAUGAGAUGUGUCUUUUGCUUUGGUUUUGAAUAAUUGGCUUAAAACGUUGUUUUCACUUUUCGUGAAGGAUUUCAUCAGUGUCGGUAUGGAUACAACAAUGUCUCAGACCUUGAAUCUGUAGUUGAUGGAUAUAAAAAUGCUGGAAUACCUCUUGAGGUUAUGUGGACGGACAUAGAUUACAUGGAUGGCUACAAAGACUUCACUUUGGAUCCCGUGAAUUUCCCCGAGGACAAGAUGAAAUCGUUCGUGGAUACACUUCACAAGAGCGGUCAGAAAUACGUGCUGAUCUUAGAUCCUGGUAAAACUUAUAUAUGUAGUACUAUCUCUAGAGUCUCUAAAAAACUUGAUUCAAGACAUGAAAACUUGGGUUUAUAUGUAGGUAUCAAUGUGAAUAGCUCUUACGGGACAUAUGAAAGAGGGUUGAAAGCGGAUGUUUUCAUAAAACGAAAUGGUGAGCCUUAUCUCGGUGAGGUUUGGCCUGGAAAAGUAUACUACCCUGACUUCUUGAAUCCAGCUGCUGCAACUUUCUGGAGCAAUGAAAUCAAGAUGUUCCAGGAAACUCUCCCAUCGGAUGGUGUGUGGCUUGACAUGAAUGAGUUAUCAAAUUUCAUAACUUCACCUCUCUCCCCUGGAUCCUCACUCGAUGAUCCUCCUUACAAGAUCAACAACUUAGGGGGCAAAACGCCGAUAAAUAAAAAAACAGUACCCGCAACAUCUAUCCAUUUUGGAAACGUUAGUGAAUACGAUGCGCAUAACUUGUAUGGACUCUUGGAAGCUAAAGCUACUCACCAAGCCAUAGUGGAUUUAACGGGCAAGAGACCGUUCAUUUUGUCAAGAUCCACGUUUGUAAGCUCGGGGAAAUACACGGCUCACUGGACCGGCGACAAUGCUGCAAAAUGGGAGGAUUUGGCUUACUCGAUCCCAGGAAUUCUCAACUUUGGGCUGUUUGGGAUUCCAAUGGUUGGAGCUGAUAUCUGCGGUUUCUCAUAUGAUACCACAGAGGAAUUAUGUCGUCGAUGGAUCCAGGUAGCGUGAUUAAUUCUCGGACAUAAACUGUAGAUUAUUUUCCAGAGUUCAUGUUCUAACUUUGGCUCUUAGAUUAUCAGCUCGGAGCAUUUUACCCUUUUGCAAGAGAUCAUUCGUCCAAAGGUACUGCUAAACAAGAACUGUACAUCUGGGAUUCGGUUGCUUCUUCUGCAAGAAAGGUUCUCGGCCUUCGUAUGAGACUGCUCCCACAUCUUUACACACUAAUGUACGAGGCUCACGUUACCGGUGUCCCGAUUGCGCGACCGCUCUUCUUCUCCUUCCCUAGUGACACUAAAACCUAUGAGAUUGAUUCGCAGUUCUUGAUCGGAAAAAGCAUAAUGGUAUCUCCGGCGCUGGAGAAAGGUACAACUACCGUCGACGCAUAUUUCCCCGCCGGAAUCUGGUUCGAUAUGUUUAACUAUUCGAUUGCUGUCGGUGGAGAUUCCGGUAAGCACGUUAGGCUUUAUACUCCGGCCGAUCACGUCAAUGUUCAUGUUCGAGAAGGUAGUAAAUUUUCCGUUUGCCUAUUCCUAAGUACUACUAGUUUUUCGGUUUUGACGAUAACCGUAAGUUGAGUUUAACUUUGUGAAUAGGUAGCAUUGUGGCUAUGCAAGGGGAAGCAAUGACAACUAGAGAAGCCAGAACGACACCGUUUGAGCUUCUAGUUGUAGCCAGCAAGGUCGAGAACAUCUCCGGCGAAGUGUUUCUCGAUGACGGGGAGAACAUACGGAUGGGAGAGGAAGGAGGGAACCGUGAUUGGACCAUCGUGAAGUUCUGGUGCUAUGUGACUGGAAAAUCCGUGGUACUGAGAUCGCAAGUGGUGAACCCAGAGUAUGCGUCGAGAAUGAAAUGGAGCAUCGGGAAAGUGACGUUUGUUGGAUUCGAGAACGUGGAGAGUGUGAAAGCGUACGAGGUUAGGACAGGUGAGAGAUUGAGGAGUCCGAGAAUCUCUGUUAUUAAGACGGUCGUGGACCAUGAUGAUCCGAAAUUUAUGAGUGUGGAGGUUUCUAGACUGUCGUUGCUUGUUGGGAAGAAGUUCGAGAUGCGAUUGAAAUUGACUUGAAGAAAGUAUAUAUACCCAAUUCUAUGAUAAAUUGUGGAUGCUUAAUGAAUAAAGAAGAGUUUGUGAGUAAAGAUUUCAUAGUUUUAUAAACUCCAAAUUCAUCUCGAGUAAUGCCAAAAAAAAAAAAAAGACUAGACGAUGUUUGUGUAGCUAAGUUUAGAUAUCGAUCAAGGGUUUUUUGGUUUCUUGUAUCAAUCAAAUUCGAAAAGACGUUGAAGGAGGUAACAUUUUCUCUUGACAUGGUAUUGCACUACCAGAGCAAGGUAAUCAAAUUGCAAAGUAACAAUGACACAAUGUGCAGAAUUUUCACAUUAAUUAAGGCAAUAAUAAAACAAUAAUUAAGGCAAUAAAACUAUCACAAACUCUUACGGUACCUCGUCAAGCACAGAGAGAGAUAGUAUUAUAUUUAUUCUACUGCUGCUAGACCAUUCUCCAGAGCUUUCACCAGAUUUCCAAAGUAGGUUUUCGUUGUUCUGAUCAAAUCGGCUAGUCUUGACCGGAAAUGCAUGAAGCCUUCUGGGCCUUGAGCAGUAUAAAACACCUCCGAUUCCAUCUCUACAUAGUUGUGGAGCAUCUCCAAAUAUGACUCAGCCUUACCUUGCAAAAACUCGAAAAACUCUCGCUUAUCAUGAUCAGAUUCAGGUAGAUAGUACCCAUAUGCGUAUGUCCAUUGCAAUACCCGUCUGCAUUCGAUGAUCUGAAGCCACGCAUCUGUGAUGAACACGAGCUGAGUUUCUGGUUCGCCCUGUAUCUCACUAAGCUUCUUAAGCUUCUCAGAUUUCAAAUUCUGCAGAUCCUCCAUAGCUUUCUGCCUCGACUUCCUAUUUCCUUCCCAUCGCUCAUAAUGAUGAGUGUAUCUCUCUAGCGAGUUCUUAGCCAUCUCUCGCUUCCUCUCAGCCUCAUCAAACAGUCCUUUUAGCUUACCCGCCGCAUACCGGUUGCACGCAUAAUUCCCACCAGAACUUUCACCGUGAUCUUUCCAUGCACCAAGACAAAGCCAACAAAACUGAUGUCUACAAGGUGGAGUACAUGUCAUGUGCAUGCAGCCAUGAUUCUUUUCAAUCGGACGCUUACACUUGGGACAAGCCUUCGAGUUCGCAAGUAUCCAGUUCGUGUUUUCAGAUUCUGCACUGUUCUUACGUAUCCAUUGUGAAACUGUCUCACAAUCCACAGGACGGUGAGCAUCUUCAGUGCAGUUCCAGCAAAAUCUAUGCAAACACAAGCAAGAAACAUCGUAACUAUCACCACUCCCUGCAGAGAUAUCAACUGCGAGCUCGCAUCCUGGAGCAGGACACCACUUCAUCGUCCUGUUGUCUUCGACAUAAGACCUAAGGAAAUAUCUAUCAUACUUGUCCUUGUCUUCUUGAUCAGAAACAAGUUUCUCGACCAUAUCACGACCAACAGCAGCAGGACAAGACGGGUAGGCAGGACACUUGAGCAACAAGCAUCCUGGGCCAUUAUUGAUGGCUAUGCUGAUAUAACGAGUCCAGCAAGUAGAGCAGAAACGAUGACCACAAGCAACGGAUGCAAAAUCUUUAGGAAGAAAAGAAUCAAAGCAUAUUCCACAUGUUACACGUCGUUGUUUAAAUUUGCCACGAGGUUUUGGAACAACAUUAACAACAACAGGUUCCUCCAAUAUGCCAACAGUUUUCCGAACUCUCUCCUCGUCUGCAAACCAUUCAUCAUUGAUUUUACUAACACUCCAGUGGUAGUGAAGAAGCAAAACGCUAGCUUCGACCUCGCUUAUGCAGAGGACAGAGGUUACUCGUCCGAUAUCAUCCUUUUGAUGCCUUCGAAUAUCUUCUUCCUUGAGAACGACGUAAUUGAUCUGAGAGCCAUGCGUGGAGAUCAUCGUGGCUUUGUCCACGGAUUCCUCAACGUACCCUUGGAGUUCGAUCCCCUGAUCGAUCAAGGUUUCAUCAUCAUCACUCUCGUUGUAAUCGUCGCUGUAAAUAUUGUCCUCUCCUCCAGAUUCCAUAUAGUAUGCAUCAUCGGAAUCCAUGAUCGGCGAUAUCACAAGGGAACUUGACCUAAUCCCGUUUUUAAAGGUUUAAGAUUUAGAGGAAUCAGACGAAGACAGCUCCUACCUUGUCGCUAAACAAACUAAGGUUUGGUAAAACAUAUAUACCCUUUGUUAUUAAGGAGUUUACUAGUCCUUUGUAUUUAUGGAUAUUUUUAUGGAUAUUUUCCAUCUCGCUUUUUCCCUUUUUUUUUUUUUAUUUUAUUUUUUUUAACUCGAUUCCUUUUCCUUUUAAUGUUUUUAUAUUUUAUAAAUUAAUUUAGAGCAAUACUACAAUCUAACCUUACCUUAACUUAUUCUUUACAGAAAGUUACCAAAAGAAAUUUUAUCAAUAACUAUAAGAAAUUUUAUAUCUAAAACUAUACCGAAUUUACAUAAUAUCAUCUCAUCAUGCGAAUCGUCGAAAAAAAAAAAUCAUCUCAUCAUGCGUAUUGUCACGGAUAUUAUUUAGUUUGUUGUUUUAUAUGCAAUUUAAUUUCCUUUUUGUAUAUAGAGUUAGAUUAGCUUCUUCGCAUAGCAUAUUUGUCCAUUUUCCCACUAAUUUUUUGUUUUGCAUUUCUCUUAUGCCACAAAUCUGUUACAUUCCUUACUAAGUUACUCGAUUAAUUUUUUUUUUUAACUGCCAUUGAUCUGGUUUAACUCAAGUUUCUAUUAUUGAAAUUUUUAUGAUUGCUUGAAUUUUCAAAAUCAGAUUAGAAAAAUCCUGAAAUCCCGUUGGAAAUUAAAUGAAAAAAAAGGAAACAAAUUAACGUCAUGAUCCGAUUCCGAUAUACCAAAAGUCUACGCGACAACAGUCUGACCAUCGGUCUACGCACAAACCGUUUCGGCGUCUUCCUCACUUUCUUCUCCAUUCAUCAUCAUCAUCUCUCUCUCUCUUUCUCCAAGUUUCGAGCCGGAUUCGUAAGUUCUCGGUGUUUUCCAGUUAUCUGGACACUACUUGAUUCUUCCUUUUUGCCUGUUAGAUCGACACGUGGAUUAUCCUCCUCUACUUGGUGAAGCCUCACUCAUACUUUCUUCAAGUUCGUAUAGCUCCGGAUCCGGUUUCGUUUUAAAUCAACUUUUCGACGGUUGAAUAGUCGACUUCUCCGAGUUUCGAUUUCGCGCCGGUCUGGUGAAGAAAUAGCGAUUUAAUCAACUACUUUCUUUGGAGAUUCCGUGUGCGAUUACCGAUUUCGUUUAUCUGGAUUGAAAACUUGCUGAAUCUGCUUUGCUGGUGAAGUAAUAAUCAAGCUGCUUCCGUGAUUAGCGAUGAGAUCUGGAGUUUUUAGUUUUAGGAUCUUACAGCUAAAUUAGGAUCUUACGAGUAACUUCGGAUUUGCCAUAGUGUUUAGGCUACUUGAUAGAGUGAUCUUACGAUUUGCUAGAGUGUUUAGGCUACUUGAUAGAGUGAAUCAGAGCAUACCUUUAGAUCAGGUUGUUUAGAUUGAUACUAGACAUUGAUAUAACUCUUUAUUUAGUUGUUAACGAUGCAGACUAGGGUUGUACAGUUGGAAGAAGGAAAAGAAAAUGGAAUCUCGGUUAGAACAGGGCAGCACAAGGCAUUUCGACCGAAACUGCUUCUUGUGCUAGGCCUUUUUCUUGCUUUCUCUGCUACUGUCUUCAUCAUUAGUGUAUCUACAAUCAAGUAUACUGGUAUACAAAAUGUAGUAACCACAGUCACUUCUAGCUUUGUGCCAUGCCGUGAGGAGGAACCGAGUGGUUUAAGUAGAUGGAUACAACCUCCUCUUGUCCUGAUGCAUAACAUGACCGAUGAAGAGCUUCUUUGGCGUGCGUCUUUCUGGCCUCGGAGAAAAGAGUAUCCGUUUAAAAGGGUUCCAAAGAUCGCCUUCAUGUUCUUGACUAAAGGCCCCUUGCCGCUUGCUUUGCUUUGGGAGCGGUUUCUCAAAGGUCACAAAGGGCUUUACUCGGUUUACAUUCAUCCCCACCCAUCUUUUACAUCCAAGUUUCCAUCUAGUUCUGUUUUCUACCGGAGGCAGAUACCGAGCCAGGUACGGUUCCUCUAACCCUCUCUCUGUUUCAUGGAUACCACUCAUACCAAUUACAUAUAGUAAGAGGAAAUGGAGCUCUUGGAUCAAACUUGGUUUCUUUAGAAGCCUUUUUCGCAUCGCUUGUUAUGUAGCCAUUCUUCUUGAAGUAUUAAUUUUGAAUGAGUGAUAAGUAACUCUUGAAUCGAACUUGGUUUCUUUAGGCCUUUUGUUCUAGCAGUUCGUCUGGUCACUGCUAUGUAGUUGAUUCGAUUGUAAUCUGGAUAUCUACAUCAUUUCGCAGGUUGCAGAAUGGGGGAGAAUGACCAUGUGCGAUGCAGAGAAGCGGCUUCUCGCCAACGCGCUGCUCGACAUCUCCAACGAGUGGUUCGUUCUCGUCUCGGAGUCAUGCAUUCCACUCUUCAACUUUACAACCAUCUACAGCUACUUAAGCCAAUCAAAACACAGCUUCAUGGGUGCUUUCGAUGACCCUGGACCGUUUGGGCGCGGCCGCUACAACCCGAACAUGGAACCUGAAGUUCCCAUCACCAAAUGGCGAAAAGGGUCUCAAUGGUUUGAGAUAAACCGGGAACUCGCAGCUACCAUUGUCAAAGACACAUUGUAUUACCCGAAAUUCAAAGAGUUUUGUAGGCCUGCUUGCUAUGUGGACGAGCAUUACUUCCCGACGAUGUUGACAAUUGAGAAACCAGUGGUCUUGGCGAACCGGAGCUUGACGUGGGUGGACUGGUCGAGGGGCGGGCCACACCCGGCGACAUUUGGGAGAUCGGACAUUACAGAGAACUUCUUUGGAAAGAUCUUUGAUGGAAGAAACUGCACUUACAAUGGUCGCAACACUUCAAUGUGUUAUCUCUUUGCGAGGAAGUUUGCUCCGAGUGCUUUGGAGCCUUUGCUUCACAUAGCUCCCAAGAUUUUGGGAUUUUGAGUUACUUAGUAGUGUCUCUGAACCCCUCUUGAAAUCAGAUAGAGAUCCUUAUAUGGAUGUGAUAUGGAUUCUGUGGGAAAUUUUACGCCAAUAUUAUUUGAUUUUGUUUAGGAGGAAUGAGAUAUUCGAAUAGAUAACGUUGCACAACCUGAUUUAGUCAUAAGUUUAUAUAAACUUUAUAUAUUCGAAAACUUUAUAUACAACUAUUUUUAUUCGAAUCGCAUUUUUUCACUACAAAGUGUAUUGUGUUUCUGUGUGAUUAUUGGCUUAAUUCCUUUAAUCUUUGUGUGUAAAUAGUGUUUUGAGUUAAAGACAUAUUUCUAAUCAACUGAUUAAAAGAAGAUCAUAGUAAUCUAAUUAAACAACAUAUGGUAAUUCUAAAGUCUCAAGAUUCCCGUGUUUAUUCAAUUUCUUUGAUUAUAGGAAGUUAUAAAAACGAACAAAACAUAACUAAAUUUCCUUACCGACCAAGAUUUCGGUUUGAAUGUGAAUACAUAACUAAAUGACAAUGGGAACUAAACACAGCCAGGUGGAGAAACACUUUGACACCUAUUCGAAGCUUCUCGAAUCCCUCAAGAGCCUGCAACGUCUACCAUCUGUCUCCUUUUUUUUAAAGAAUUCAAUAAAGUUAUUCUUUAUGGGCAAUUCAUUAAAGUGUCGUAAAAGGUUUUCAUUUUAAUAAUUUCGGUCAGGCUAAUGUUUCUACUUUAAUUGGAAUACAAAAAGACUAAUGUGAUAUUUAUUUGUAAUCUAUGUUUACAAGAAUAGAAAGAAAUUCCACAAAAUACACCCAAUUGUUAAAAAUAAAUAAUGAAACUACUUUCUUGUCUGCACACUGAUUUCAAAAAUAAAGUAAAUAAUUGCGGGGAGAAGUAUUCCAUCCAUUCACGAAUUUAUUUCUGUAAACAGUUAAAAAAUUCAUAUCUAUAUGGCUUCAAAUGCUGUCAUUAGUUUAACAAAAUUGGUAUCUUAAAUCAUGAAAAAAUCAUUUUUAAUAUCAUAAUCAGUAAAGUAAACUAAGUCUGCAUUAAUCUCAAAAAUCGUGUCAAAUCAAUCAAAUUAGCAUUUUGGUUUUCAGGAUUUCCACCACUUCCUAUUUUCAAAUGUUUUUCAACAUCAUUUUGGUGUUUGGGUUGUGCCACGAUUCCAAAAGUAAAAGGAAUAAACUCAAUGGUUCUAAAUCUUCGAAAACAACCUUUGUUCGUUUACCAAACAAAAACAGAAUACAUAUUCACCAAGUCUUGAUGAAUUCCCUUAAAAAUAAUAAAAAUCAACAUCGCUUGGAGAAACUAAGGACUGCCGUUUCCUCUACACAUGUCGACGUAUUUUAGAAGAAAAAUUGUAUUAGCCGUUACACGACCAUGUGCAAAGUGGUGCCCACUUCUCAACAAAUACAAGGUCUCAAGUCUGCUCAUUUUGGCCGUUUCCUUCACGGAACCGCGUGACUAGCAAAAAUGGACAGCUCAUCUCUUUCUUCACGCGCCAACAACCAUCUCUCACCGACCGUUGUGCCUAUUUAGGUCAGCGAGUUAGAUGCACGCGCCUCGGUGAGCGUUCAAAAAGGGCGUAUCGGCUGCAGUAUAAAAUAUCUUUCGAACGGCGCCGUAACGGAGAGAUGACCUGUCGAGUUCCCAGUGGACACGCGGAAGAAUAACAACCGUUGAUUAUCUUGAUUUGCGGGACCCGCAGGUGUAGCAGCUGUAAUUGCAGCAUUCUUAAGCUGGGAAAAGUCCGGUCAGCUAAACCCAAUCAAACCGGGCAGCUACGCGUUUGCCCGACCUCUUUAUAUACGCCUCACAACAUAAUCUCUCAAUACUGUCAAUUUGAGAAAACCCUUAAGAGCUUAAGCAAAAAAUUCGAAUCAAUCAAAAGCCCUAGCCCCUCUUUUCUCAACACUCUCUGAAAUGGCGAUCUCUAAGGCUACCAUUGUUGCUCUCGUCGCGGUGAUCGUCUCCGUUGUUUCUACCGUCGCUUCCGCUCAGUCUGAGGCUCCGGCGCCAAGCCCAGUUUCUGGAUCCGGUGCCUUCUCGCCGUCCCUGGUCUCUGCUGGUGUCGCAGCCGUCGCGGCUCUUGUUUUCGGCUCUGCUCUUCGGAUCUAAGUCUUUGUGAUGGCGAUUCGUACAGAGAUUGUUUUGGAGUUUAUAUCCGGUAUAGCAUUCGUGUGUAUUCAGAAGCUAUAGAUCUCUUUUCUAUUUGGCUCUUGUUUUCUAUCUACCUUCAUAUCUAUAUGAGGAUGUAUCUCUUAGAGUAUUGUGGUUUGUCAUUUCUAGAUGCGAUAUGGUUUUUUUGAUGUGAUAUGAUUCUAUUCUAUUUAUUUAUGGAUGUUUCUCAGAUUUCUCUCUUCUCGUUCUUUACUUCUGCUUCUGCUACGAUACAAGCUUGUUAGCAUGUUAGAUCAGUGUCAAACGCGUUAAAAAUUGAAUCAUUUCAGCUCAAAUUGAAUCAGAAUUUUGAUUGUAACAAUUACUUAGAUUAAUUUCAUCAACUUAAAUUUUGGAGGAAACUGAAUCUGAAUGCAAACUAAACUCGUACGUCAUAUCAAGCUGGUCCAAAUCAAAGAUAAUACUAAGGAAAUCUAAAAACUGAAAAGCCUAAAACAAAAGUUAGCAUUUUUAUACAUUGCUUCAACAGAGGCUGAUUAGUAUCUCCGGUAUAAAACUUUUGAAUUGCAUUAUAGAAUUUCAGAAUUAAUCAGUAAUGAAACUAAAGUCCAAAGUGCCCGUUUCUCCAUUUUUCUUAAAAAAGAAAAGUGAAAAGUUCAUUUCCAAAGUGGUGUGUACUGUUGACCUUGACGUUGUUUUGGAAGUUGCGGUCGACUUGUAAGAAAGCACGUCUGCGUGUGAAAUCAAUUGGAAAAAAAAAAGCUUUGAGCUUUCGUUUUAAGUUGGAUGAAAAAUGAGGUAACAAGCAGCCCCUCAUGAAGGAGAUUCAAUUUCUUCUAUCACGAGUCCCAAUUUAGAGAUUUAUGGAUUCAGAAACGUGUUUUUCUUCUAAUCACAAACGGUAAAGAACAGUGUUAUUAACGGUCAUGUUUUUUUUAAUGGAAGGCAAUGUUGGUCAAGAUUGAGAAAAAAAGUGUGGAAUUUAUUUGAUGAUAGGAAAACUUGAGGACUUUUAUGUAGAAGUUAAAAGGUCAAGCUUUUUUCAGACGGCAAAGAAUAAUCAACUGUUGAUUAGUAUCGAAAUAUUUAGCAUUUGGUUACGAUAAAAGGGAUGUGUAACGUGUUCUGAUAUGUGAUUCUGUGUAGCUACGUAGGAUAUUCAUAGACGCAUAGUUUAACAAAUUCCUCGGAGGUGCCUUUCGAUUUUAUUAGGUUAUUUGCGUAAUUACUUCCGUAAAUGCACCAUAAUCAGAUUACUCUCUUUCACGCUGUGCCAUCCAAAGUAUGCAAAUCUGUGGCUCGGGUGCAUCUCAAUUCUCAACCAUCGGAUCUUGAAGGUAAUAAUUUCAAUUUUAAUGCAACAAUUCUAUGUUCCACAUGAUUCACCGUUUGGCUCUGAUGUUUGAAUGUAUUUGUCUCAUGAUUGGUUCCUUUAUUUUGUACGCCACCUGUUAUUAUUUUCAAACAAACUUUAUUCCUGGAAUUUCAUCAUCCAAAAAAACAGAGUGGGUCUUUGACACAUGGUUUAUGGGAAAUAAGUCAAUAACUAACGAAGAAAAGAAAUAAACAAAUGAAAGGGUUUAUUUGACAAAAGCAUAAAACAUCAGGGAUUCAUAUGCAAAUUACCCAUUAAAGAAAAGGAAAGGAAGAAAAAAACCCUGGAGGAUGAAGCGAGGGUUUUGUAGGUUCACAUUUUUUGCUCAAACUCCGCCAAUCUCUGUAAAACUUCCAUACUAACAGAUUUGGAGCAUUAGAUCGAUUCCUCUUGCAAAGAAAUGCAAUCGAUUCGUGGCAGUACAAGGUUGCUUCAAAGGCAACGUUUCGCCAUCUCCAACACUCUUCGUCUCACUUCGUCUUCGUCAAGCUGGUCUGAAAAUGAAUCGAGAAGGCUAGGAUUUGAUUCUUUCCGCUCUACCAGAGAUUUUGAUUCAGCAGCGACGUAUCUCAUUAGUUCUUUCACAAAGGCGGUUUCUUCAUCUUCCCUAGUACCUGUAAGCCGCUUUCAUUUUUAGCUAAUCGUGGUUUGAUAUUUUUCUCGGAUUGUAGAAAUGUAGACGAUAAUUAGUUGCCAUUAGAGAUCCAAUUUUCAGAUUGGUUUGAUAUUGCAAUUAGUGUUAAAAGACAAGGAAAGCUUUGCUCUUGGGUUGAUCUUGCUGAGUACUGAUGAGUAGUCUCUUCCUUAGCUGCAAAUUCCACUAAUUUCGUAUUCCACAUUCAAUUUUAGCUCAGAUUCUUUAUGUUAGGGCCUUUCAUCGCUAUGGUAAUCACACAAUAUAGAUAAUGAUGAUAAUUAAGCUAAAUUAAACAAAAAAGUUUCGUCUUUGUCUUAAGCAUUAUUGAUGAUUGUUUAUCUUCUUAAGUUGCUGUUUAUCUCGUGUGGUAGUAAGGGACCAGUUUCGUGCUGUUGUUAUUUCUUUUCGGCUUUGGCUCAGUUGUAUGCUUUCACAAAAUGUUCUAACUUUUAUGGUGAUUGGCAAUUUUUGGCAGAAACAAAACUUUACGUAUUCAUCGAGGUGCUUUUCCACCAUUGGAAAUUCCAUUCAAUCUACUCCUCAAGGAUCUUCCGAGUCAGCUCCUGAUGUGCCUCAGAGAAUCAAGUUCAAGCGGCUUGAUAAAACCGCCAAGCAUAUUAUGCAGGUACAACUCGAACUUUGAAAAUUGUCAUGGGGUCAAAUCAUGUCAUGUUUUUAACUAUCUCUCAAAUCAUCUGCAGAUUGUAGACAAGGAGGCAGUUGAGCAAGUGAGAACUCUCAGAGAGAUACCAGAUAUAAGGCCCGGUUACAUUGUGCAGCUUAAAGUGGUAAAUAUAUUAUUGAAGAUGGCCUAGAUUGUACUUUCUUUUUUUUCUUGGAGUGUGGGAUCAAAAUAUCUUCUUAGGUUAAACCUUUCAGAGGCUUGGAUUUACUUUGUUAGAUUUCCAUUGUUUGAACAGGAAGUGCCUGAGAACAAGAGGCGUGUUUCAAUCGUAAAAGGCAUUGUCAUAGCAAGGCGUAAUGCUGGUCUUAACUCUACGUUUAGGAUUAGAAGACUUGUGGCUGGAGUGGGCGUCGAAUCCAUGUUCCCCUUGUAAGUACUUUGUCCACUCUCUAUCUCUCUUCUCUUGGGAAAAAAGCAAAGAUGUAUUUACAUUAUUAGAGCCUCAUAGCAUGAGCAAAAGGCCCCUUGUAUGAGAAAACUGAUAUGUGAGUGGGGUUGUUUGGUAACAGGUAUUCGCCAAACCUGAGGGAGAUUAAGGUGCUGGACAAGAAGAAAGUAAGAAGAGCGAAACUUUAUUACCUCAGGGACAAGAUGAAUGCUCUCAAGAAGCAUUAGCACCUUAAUAAUAAUAAACGCACUCUACACUGAUAAACAAAGUCGAGGGGUUUUUAGUGACGAUUUGGCUUAAGCCACAUAUUAUUAGACUGUGUAAUGUAAUGAUGGAUACCUUGAAACUAUUUUUUCUCCUACCUGUUCUAAUAAGUUUGUUAGCUAUCAUUAUGAUUAAUCUCCAGCUUCGUGAUAUUUUUUCAUAUUGAAGAAACAUCUAGGAGUUUAGAGGAUCACACAUUGCAGAAAUCUUAUACAUUGUCAAUUAACUGAUAUGAAAGUAUUUUUAUUAAUCCUAUUAUCCACAAAACCAUAAACAAAUGUUGAGAUUCAGAAAUUGAGAGGUAUAAUGAUGUGUAAAAAAAAUUAACUUGGUAAUAAGCUGUUACAAAAGAAAAAAAAAAAAAUUAAUUAAGUUCGUAAUUUAUCAUCUCUCGAUAAUAGGAAAAAGUUACGAACCCGACCCGACUUGUCUGCUCCCCGGUUUUUAGUCUACCUCUGUCGAGACAAGCUUCUUGUAUCUUCUUCGGGUGGUUUCGUUUUUUAACUGUAAGUUUCCUCUGAUUCCUUUUCUGAGGUUUGUGUCGAUCUCAAAGCUUAAAGAGAUUGAUAAACCAUAUUGCUUCACCUAGAUUCUGGGUUUUAGAUUGGAAAUUGGAAUUUGUUGUGGUGUUUAGGUAGCGAAAAUCCAGUCAUGGAAUCGUUGCAUCAAGUAGAAAUUUCUCCGGUUAAUGGGAUAGUAGAGUAAUGUAUUUUUUUUUGUUCAAUCCGAAUUACAAUGUUAUUAUUAUGAUAUUAUCUCUUGUUUGUGAUAUUAGCUGAAGUUAUUUAGGGUUUCCGAAAGGUUAGAUUUUGCAAUGGAUUUGUUAAUCGAUUUAUGUUUUCCCGAAUUUUACAGUGAGAAAGUAAAGUUGUGUAAUUGAAGGUGACUUCCAACCUCUGGGAUUGUGCUUUUUUUUCUUUCUUGUGCAUCAAAUGCCUAAGAAGAAGAGUAGUAGCAGUUCUUUGAAAAACCCAUCACAAGAAGUGGACAGACCUGGAAUACAACAAAACAAACCAGUUCCAAAACCUGGUAAAUUAGGAAUAGAGAUUGAUGAGAUCUUUAGUGGGAGAAUGAAAAAGAAGCUAUCACAAGAAGUAGAGAAACCUGCAAUACAACCAACCAAACCAGUUCCAAGACCUGGUAAAUUAGGGAUAGAGAUUGAUGAGAUAUUUGGUGGGAGAAAGAAGAAGAAGAUACCAGAGCUCGAGAAACCUGAGUCCAAAGAAGAGGUAGCAAAGAAGGAGAGGAAGAGGAAGAGGAAUGAGCUUGACGGGUUCAACAACAACCCGAAAUCCCGACCAAGGAAGAGAACCAAAGACGGUUUACCAGUGUUCACGGAAGAUGAACUUGGUAUCAACAAGGCCUAUGCUGGUGAUACUCCUCUUUGUCCCUUUGACUGUAAUUGUUGCUUCUAGUUCCUUGUCAAACCAGUUUUGAAGCAGAUUAACUCUGUCUGGUGGAAAAUGGAUGAAUCAUCUCAGUUUACCAGAGUUUGUUGUAGUCAUUGUUGUUCAUGUUUUGAUUAAUAGAAUACAUUUUUUUUUCAUUUUUUCUAGCUGAUUGCUCCUAGUCUAAUAUAUCAGUCUUUUUUACACGAAGGAAGAAUCAGAUUUCUAUACAUGAACUUGGUUUUCCAGCACAUUUCACAGCGAACUAUAAAGGACAGUCUCAGAGUUUUGUGACUUUGACAACUAGAUGGCAUAGUUCAUGGUGCUCUUAACCGCCGAAGCAGUAAAGUUACUCUCUAAAAUUUUGCGUAGUUGGAGAUUGUUCUACAUUGCUUAGGUUUUCAGUGAAGACUAGGAUCGAUCGAUGAUUGUUACCAAAAUUGUCUUGGGGCGUUGAAUAUCUCUCUCACAGGAUAAUCUCGUUCGAAACAAAGUUUCCCAGCAGUUAAUUGGCAUUUAUAGAUGACAGACACGUUUAAUCUUAUGGUUUUUUUUUUGCAGUUCUUUAUAUGAUCGAUAAAAUAUUCUGGAAAAGGUUUGAUGAAAUCUUCAAAAGUAACAAAAUAAGAAAACAUUAAUUGACAAAGAGUUUAAAGUUCGUUUGCCUCGUGUGAUGAGAAUCAAGAAUGCAUUCACUUGAAAGCCACAGGAUCACAUAACGACCAACACAUGUUUUAAGCAACUCUAUGCUUAAAUUACACACAUAUAUAUAAUAUAUAUGUAUAAAUUCAAAAGGUUCAGAAUCAUCUAGCUCAUAACUGGUAGAUAUAACAAAAAGAAAGAACUCCGACAACAACAACAUCUUUAGGUUUAUUAAGCUUAAACAACAAACUUAAGAAAGAAAUACGUUCUUUUACAUGGCAUCUCCAUCACAAAGAAACAUGCAGUGAGAAGUCCACAUUUUAUUAUCCCCAAACUUUUGGUAAAAAUCGUCUGAAAAAAAACUCCAUUUCACAUUGGAAGGAGGAGGAUUUUUAAAGCUUCACUUGUUCCACCAAUGCAAGAAAUCCUUGCGCCUGUUGAUUUUCUUCUGAAGCUGGAGGAGUCCAUAGAGCAAAGCCUCAGCAGUUGGAGGGCACCCAGGGACAUAAAUGUCUACUGGUACAAUUCUGUCACAGCCUCGAACCACAGAGUAGGAGUAGUGAUAGUACCCACCUCCAUUGGCACAGCUUCCCAUUGAGAUCACCCACCUUGGCUCGGGCAUUUGGUCAUAAACCCUGUCAUUGUUUUGAGAUAUUAGAAACUGGAACUUCUUCAAUCAGGAAAAACAGAUUUAAAACAAGUAAGCUGAUCCACAAAGACUACUUCUCUCCAUUCAGAUCCAAGGCUGAUAUUGUGGGUAAUUUGAAGAGAGAGUUCUGAACAUAUCUCUAAAUACUAGUUCGAUCACUGAUAGUCUCCAUUCACCAUGACAACUAAUCUAGACCAACUUAUAAAGCUACCAAUUAUCUCUCAAAUGCAUCUGAUAUUUUCAACCCGUGGUUCCUUGUGGCUAGUGGAUUGACUUGGGAUAAUUUCUAUCUCUAGUAUCUGGGCCUACAGACAUCAUUAGUAUAAGCUCAGCUGUCUACCCAAAAAUCAAAAACAUACAUUUCUUAACAACAGGAUUCUCAUUUAGAGAAGACAAGUUCUGCAGUUGAAUGAAGGGUUCGUAACAUCAAACAAGAAAAAUAGGAAUCCUAUUAAAAGUGUCAGAUAUCAAUUUUUCCACAACAACACACCUCCCAAUAAAAUGAACAUCAGGUCUUAAGGACAACGAAGCAAAGUCAUCAAGCAAGAUUCUAGACUGUCAGCAGAAGGAGCAACAAAUUAGGUAACACAGGACAUAAUACCAUUGAAUCUCCAUUAUCUAGUUAGUAAGAUCAAGUUUUUGAUAAAUCCAACCAUGAUAUAAUACAUGGUUCCUAAUAAACACCAAGCUAGAUAAUCUGAAAUCCCUAUCUAACCACAAAAGACAAACACAGAGGUUACAUGAAAAGAGAUAUCACUCCUGCAUAGAUGAUCUACUCUUCAUUCCUGAAUGCUAGAACUCUCCCAAGUUCAUGAUUUCGAAUCAAAAUAUUUCAGGCGCUAGACAAUGAAUACGAACGGUACAGCUUCCCAGGAAAAUCUUAUACGCACACAGAAAAUCUCAAUUUGACACAGACCUAGCAAACCAAUCAGAAUACAUGAACCCUAAAUCGCCGGGAAAGAGAAAAAUUCAACCCGGAAUCCCAAUCAUAAUCUCCUAAAAACCUAAUUUUGGGCUUUGAGGGGCUAUCAACAAGCAGAACAGCACAAAAUGAAGAAAUCUUCCCACGGAAAACUCAAGAGGAGAGUAUUCCCGAGAUCCGAGGAAAUAAAUCAGCCGUUUCAUUCCAAAGGAAAGAGAGAGAGAGAGAGAGAGAGAGAGAGAGAGAGAGAGAGAGAGAGAGAGAGAGAGAGAGAGAGAGAGAGAGAGAAAUAGAGGGGCGUACUUGCGAAGAGCCGGAGCCAUCUUGUUGGUAAGCGUACCGGCGACAAUCAUACAAUCGGAUUGGCGAGGACUAGGCCUGAAGAUAAUACCGAAUCGGUCGAGAUCGUAGCGAGCAGCACCGGUAUGCAUCAUUUCGACGGCGCAGCAGGCGAGGCCGAAGGUCAUAGGCCAGAUCGAUCCCCUACGAGCCCAGUUCAUGAGAUCAUCAACCUUGGAGAUCACGAACUCCGCCGUCUUGGAGAGACCCGGCGGAGGAGCGGAGGUCGAAGGAGGACCUGGUCUGGUGUAGGACGUCGGUGAUGUCGAGGGGGAGAGUGCGGGAAGCGAUGUAUGGAGGUGAGAGACCGCGGCGACGGCGCGUUGAGAUUGAAGGAGGAGAGGGAGGCGCGUGGCGGUGUUGCGCGUAAUCAUGGCCAUUGUUUGUCUCUCUCUGUCCUCUGAGUUUUUCGUUUCGUCGUGGAGUUGUGAUAACCAGCGACUCUACUAUUUACUAAAAACAGGUGGACUAAGUAUUUAUAUAUAUCAAUGGUUUUUAUCUUUUUUUUUUCACCUUAUUUUCUUACUUUUUUACAAUAAAUGAUCCAUUUCAUGGGUGUUUAAAAUUUAAUCAAGAAGACCAUUAGAUUAAAUUCUUCCCUAUCCAAAUCUAGCAAAAAAAUAAUAUAUAUAUAUAUAUAUAUUCCUAUUCACUGCCAAAAUCUUUAAAUUUCUCUCCUCUAUUGGGUGGAAAAUAUUGUUCUAAGAGAAGAAAAUUUAAGUUUUAUCAACUUUCAUUUUGUAAACAAUCUCUUAACGUUUGUAUUAAUGUUAUAAACGAACAAAGUAAUUAUUUUCUUCAUGUCAUAAUUAAAAGAACAAAAAAACUAAAAAUUAAAAUGCGAUAUGUUUUGGAGUGAAACCAAUUUGAAAUUGUUAAAUAUUUAGCCUACCGAUUCCCUCUCUUUAUUCAUUCGCCCCUUUUCUUUGAAUUUCAUAGGGUUUCUCUAUUCUCCUUCAACUUUCCAAAUUCAAAUUCCUUUCCGUUCUUCACUGUCACCGGAAAUGCAACCUCCGAGAUGUAACCCUAGCUCUCAGAGCCACCUUGAAUUUCUGAAACCGCUUCUCAAAGACUCGAUCAAGCAGUUCCUGAUGCAGUAUCGGAGCGGACGAACCCAUUUCUCCGAUUUCGACUCCAUCUUCACUCGUAUUCUUCACGAUCUCCCCGAUCCACCUCUUGAACUCGUCUGGUUCUGCUCCGCCAUCAGAUUCUACUCCUCGAAACUGGAUUUUGAAGACGAUUCCGUUAGGUUAACCGGGAGCUUCUUCCAGUUGCUAGUUUCUUUCUCAGACUCUUUUUCCGGCGCGAAGAGGAUAGCUCUAUUAUCUCCUCUUGUUUACCAGUUGACUCGUUUUGCUAAUACUAGGAGGAGAGACGCUUUGAGCUUGUUAGAAGGGAUUGUAAGCUACAUUAGCAUGUACUGCGUCGAGGAACCAGGAGAUGAAGAUGAUUUGUUGAUGGUCUCAGGGUUUAGUUUUGCUGAUCUGAGUCGAGUUUGGGUUGUGGAUGAAUUGGAAGAGAAUUUUAGAGAGGAGGAUUGUUUAGAGAUCUUUAUGCCAUUUGUUAGCGAGAGAUUGCGUAAAGAGAUGGAUUCUGAGUCCUGUCGGGUUGGUUAUUUAGCUGGAAUCGUAGCUUCUCAGGUUUUCUUGCUCAGUUUAUGCUUAAGAUUUGAUUCGGAGUUAAGUAGAUCCGAGCUAGUAAAAGAUCUGCGGGAAUCUGUGCUUCAGAUGAUUUCUGGGUUCCACACUUGCUACUUUUUUGGUGAGUGUCUUAUUUUUUCUUUAGCUACUUUGCAUUCCCAUGGAGAUUGCUUGUAACGUCCAAUCCAUAACAUAAGAUUUACAGGGAAAACAGUCUAUUGAGUAGUUAAGCAAUAUUUGACAAAGUGUCCUCUUCUUUAUAACUUUCUAGAUACCUCAAUUGGCAAGCAUGUGACGUUUUAUUGAUCUUGUUACAGAUUGUAUUCUCAAGAUGCUGCUGCUGGAGCCAUAUCUGCACCUAGCUUCCCUGCUGGUUGGUUCUUUAGCUAAACAUUGUUUCUACUGUUUAGUUUUCUCUCUCUGGGCUAGUUUCAAGUUAUUGUUCUUCAUAUCAAAUGUGUUUGAGUUGUUUUGUUGAAUCAUAUUGUAUGUCAGUAGACUGCAAGGGCACUGUUAAAUGGCCUGCGUUUGUAUAAUUGGAUGCUUAAGAAAGGCUGUAGUUGCUUUAUUGAAUCACAUUCUAUGUAACAUAGGAUUGAGUUAUGUUCUCAUGGGAAGAUUUUAAUCUUUCAGGGUCCGGAAGAUCAAGCUACGUUAAAGAAAAUCAUAACUGAAGCUGUGAUUGAAUCGGCGGAGAAGCUAUUCCUCAACCCUGGAAAUGGAACUUCACAAAGAAGUUUACACUUGAAGAAUAUUGCCAUUAACUGGUUAUUUCUGUUUGACCAUGCUAUGGCUUCUCUAAGGUAUGCCUGUAGUUAUUGGCCAAACAAAGUAAUUUCUUCGGUUACUUGAUUGUUUUGCUUGAUACUCCAAAGAAUGACACACAGGAGAAAUAAAGAUGAAGAGGAAACCAGCAGGUACAUGGACAUGUUCUCCAACUCACGUAUUCCUUAUCACUUGAUCAAUUGGAUACUCAGUCAAGGUGAAGUGAUUAGAGAUGCAGACACACUGAUAAACUCGACACCCGCAUCCUUCAUCGGUAAAUUGCUUCCUUUAUCUCUUUAUAUAGGUCAUGUUGACUGCUUUCUUGAGUCAUUUGUUCCACGGGACAUUCCCAUCUGUUAUUUGGAGCUACUAUGUCUCAAUUGACUAACCCAAUGUACAAAACCUGAUCCCCAGAAUGGCUUGUAUUCUUUGAAGAGCAAGGACUAAGGGUUUUCGACUGUGACCAUUCCAAAAACUAUGCCAAAACAGUGAUUCACAGGUCAAGACCAGAUCUCAGUCUCAAAGCUGACAUUGCUGAUGAUCAAGAUGCAGAAAUGGCUGAUGAUCACAUAGUGUCAUCUAUCUCAAAUCUCAGCAGUAGCACAAGAAAGCGUAAAGAAGAGAGGCAUAAUAAGGAGGGAGAAACGAGAGUGAAACUCUUCAAACAUAGACACAUCAACCUUCAAGGGAACUCCAAUUUUCAACCUUUUGUCUUCUCGGAUCGUUUGGUGAAUGGGACUGAGGUUGAAGUUUCAGACAUGGAGCUAUGAGUUUUGAACCACUUGUCAUAGGUGAGAUCGGCCUAAUGAAACCCACAUAUGUUAGAAAUGUAAGAAUGCUGCUGAAGUUAUUGUUGUCUAGAGAUUACAAUAAGUUCACUUUGUAAGUAAUUAGAACCUUCAUAUAGUAAAGAGCUAUUAAAAGUCCUUUAAGAUCAGUGGCGUCUUUGAUUUCUUCUCCAUCUCCAGAAUCACAAAGAUAUGACUGAUGUGACUGAGCAAGCAAUAUGUACCAAUUCUGAGAUUCAUUAAGAACUAAAGAGAAACAAAGAGGUUCAUGGGUUUUGUUGUUCAUCUUGCUCUGUUAAUGUUAAUGGGCCUUCGUGUGCUCUUUUUUUUUUUUUUUUUUUUUUUUUUGACAACACAUUCGUAUGCUGACUAUGCUCUUUUCAAUGAGUUUUGCUAUUUUUAUGUGGCUAUUUUACACCAGCAAUCUCAAAUCGAUGUAGCUUUUGUUUUGAAAAAAAGGAAAUCUAAAUGGUAAGAAAUGAUCUUUAAAAUGACUGCAAACAUGAUAAUCAUGUUUUGUUUUCAUUUACAUGUGUACACCAAAUUAUACUAUUAAGUUUUACAUAUCCUAAAAUAACUCUUGCGACUGCUAGUAUACCUUGAUGACAUAUGACGCCAAAACAGUCUUUUCAAAUGUCUUUCAUAUGAACCACUAUUUACGAAACAAUUAGCUGAGUAACUCAUUGUUCACGUUUAAAAAAUUCUAUCUCAGGAAUGUUCUUAUUGUGUUGUUGGAUUCUAAUCGAACUAGAGUAUGAGUGUCUUACUUUUUCAUUUUCUUUAAACGUGAAGUAAUGGAAGUUUCUACAGAUGGACACGUAAUUAAUCUUUGCAACAACUUCCAUGUAAGCCAAAUAGCCAUGAUGUAAAGAAUUGGAUUUAAAGCAAAGAAAUGUCGCUAGAUAAUGUAAAAAACAAAACUAAUGUAACUUUUGGAUAUGGAUACUAUUUUAUAUGCUUUUUGGUGUUAUAUAUAUAUAUAUAUAUAUUUUACACAACUUUCCCUACAAAAUGUAGUUAUGCUUCUUUUUGCGUGUGGACGUAAUUUACUACAUAAAUAUUCUCGGCGAAGAUUCGUGUAUAGGCAUUUUUAUAUAAAUGAGAUGAUUCGUAUAUUAGAUUUGAUGAGUGAUGGUGGAGAGAUGGAGACAGCAACUAAAUAAAUUAUCAUUUAUACUCCAAACUGUAAGCUAAGCUUUAAAGCUGAGUAAUGGCGUCACACGUGCCCUCAUUUAAUCAGAAAUUAGGAAACAGUUACUGUUAUCUCUUAAUUGAUCAAACAACCACUUCACUCGAGAAAAUACAAAUAGUCUUAUAUGAAAUCGGAAGGAUCCCCACACUUUUAAAUUACAAGAUUUUAAAUAAAAAAAAAACUUAUAUUCUAUCAUAGGCAAGGAAACUGCCUGGCAUGUUAAUCAUAGUGUGACCGAUAGAUCGGAAUUAAUGCAAAGACUUCUCAGAUAAUCGGUUAUUUUUGUUUAAUACUAGAUUCAUUAGUUUGUUUUAAAAUAUUUCAAAUAAUUAUUUCAAUAACACCAUGUUCAGUUGAGAUGUAAAAUCGUUAAUCAAAUAACAAUAUAUUGAACAUGUACUGAAAUACAUGAUUCCAAGUCUUAUAGUGGUCAUUAUACCAUUUGUUUGAUAGGAGCAAAACUUUAGAGAGAAAAACUUAGGAUAAAAAUAUUUCCUACUGAAAUGGAAUCCUAAAUGUGAAGAUUAAGAAACGUGGUUGGUGGGUUGAUCAUUAAAAUAUAUCCAUGAAAAACAUAGGAUAAAAACAAGGGAAAAAACAACUAUAUAUAGCGAAAGGUGGGGAUAUAAGACGCUAUGCAACUAAUAUGUAAUUAUAACUCAUAAAAUAAUAAACAGGUGUAAUAUUUACUCAGGAAAUAAUAUAUAGGUACAUUUAUUCGGUGACUAGCCAGCUUUUCCUUUUGAAUUCAUCUCCCUUUUGUUCUCUAGAUAUUUAAUUAAAUAAACUUUGAAACGCGACUAAGUUGUUGGAUUGCAAAUUGCAAUCAAUCAUAUAAUGUGUAAAAUGGAGUAAUAAGAAAUAAAGCAUAUCACAGUAUGAUUGAGAAUAUUCCAUCGAGUUUGGCAUUUCUUAUACAACCAUUCAAGUUAACACGAUGAAUUAAUGAACUCUAACAACCAUGAUUACAGUUAUUUAGAGCAUGAUUAAUCAACCAAAUGAAACUAAUUUAAGAUAUCUCUGCUCCUUCCAUUGUUGCAAAAGAAUAUACGUUUUCACUGAUAUCAGUUGUCAAUGUUUAGUUCUAUUUUUAUGUCACGGUCAAUAUAAUUAUGAUGCUCAGAUAUGGAGCAUAUAAUAAAGGGAAUUAUAAAAAUAAAAGAAAAUUUGGCCGGAUUUAUAAUUAAGCAAAAGGGACUUAUGGUUGUACGCUCUUGUUGGGGUGCCAAUGACACAUACCAACUCGACAGGAAAACGACAUGUGGUGUUCUCACUCUCCAUGCAAUGGACCCCGUUUUUUGCUAUACAAAACCACACGGUGUUCAUAUUUUAAAACGGGAGAAGACUAAACAUAAAAGGGAAAGACGACAAAACAAGUUAAAAUCCAACGGCUGAGGAUUCAUUCAUUCUCCUGUCUCCAGGAUUCACCAAUUUGGUCAAAAAGUCAACAGUACGCAGACUUUUUUCUCAAAAGCAAAAAUGCUUAAUUGGUUUUGGCCCCUGUACUUUUAUAUAUAUCACUUAAUCUCUCUCUAUAUUAUUAGACGAGGAAAUUUCCUUCAUCAAUUUAUUGUUCUCUUCUCUUCUCUUCUUUAUUUUUCCUGACGGGUAAAAAUGAGAUGAAUCCAACGUGAAAUUCAAGCUAGAGAUUUUUUUUUAAUGAUAAACAAUUGUUUAAAACAUGAAUAUGAAUUAUUUUAAAUAAGUGGCUGGAUAAAAAAGAAUUGUACCAAAAAAAACAGAAAAGGAAAGUAAAAACAGUGGAAAAUGAGGGUGCCGACACGUUUUGGGUUAAAACAUUAGCCGAGUAGAAAGAGCGUGGCAUCAAUAUGAAUGAUUAAUAAAAUAGAGGGACCGAUAAUGUAAUGGUUUAGGAAAAAUAAAGAACUGUCGGUUCCUUAACCAAGGUUAAGUUGAUCAUGGUAUCUAGUUAAGCCUUGUGAUUAUUUUUUGCAGGUCCUACAUUAAACCCGAGUCGACCGUCGGUGACUCAGUACGGGUCGUGUAAACGAGUUAUUCCUGGUUUUUUCUCAUUUUUUUUAGUCACAAGUCUUCUAUUUAUAAACAGAAAAAAACGAAGAUAGCCAUCGUUUUGUUAGAGAAGAGAAGAGAGAGAGAGAGAGAGAGAGAGAGAGAGAGAACGCCAUGGAAAGAUAAUACUCUGCUUUUUAUUGAAAUAUAAGAGGAGAGAGAGACAGAGAUGGCGGAUUCGAGCGAUUCUGUCUCCAUUGAUAUGGAGGCAUUGUCUCUUGGAGUACAGGUAAAUUAUCGUUCGAAUUUCUGGUUUCUUUUUUUUGAGUUUAUAGGAUUUUGUUUGCUUACUGAGGAUUUAAGGGAAGAACAAUAUAGGAGAAAUGGUACUCUAUUGGCUUUGUUUUUGCUUUCUGCGUUCUCCGAGCUGCUUUGUUCUUAAAUUACUAUUUAUCUGGAAUCUGUUUUGUUUUUCUGCUGUAAUCAUGAUCAUGAUACUUUGGUUUUAGCAAUUUCUGGAAUCGUUUGUUCCACAAUUAUGCUGGGAAACUUUCAUGUUGCUAAUUUUUAUUGCUUCAUUAUCGUUUGGAGCUAAAAUUGGAAUGAUGCUUUUGUUGUCGGUGAUUUAUCCAAAAUCACGAAAUGUGUUGUCGAUAACCUGAUUCGCCUAUUCUGCUUGAUGUUGAUUAUUUUUUUUUUUCUCUAGGGAUGUUUUUCUAUUGGGAUUUUUCAUGCAUUCCCCAUUUCAUGGCUAAAUUGACACCUUAAUUUAGAACAGGUUUAUUUGAUCCAAUUCUUGUUCUACUAGAUUCCAAGUAUAUAACUCUUGCAUUUUCCACAUUCUUUUUCCUCAUUCUUUUUCUUGUCUUGUUAUUCUUACUGUAAAAUUCCAUAAUGAAGUUUUGGUUCUUCUAUUGAUGUUUAAAGUUUUAAUGAUCCCUUUUGUUAAACCAAUUCUUGUCUGCGUAUAUGAUCAUACUGGGAAACUUUGGUUCUUUUUAAAAAAAAACUGGUUUCUAAUCUAUAUUACUUAGAAGGGAAAUGAAAGUUAUGGCUGUGGUCCUAAUCUAUGCAUAUUUAUAUUUUUCCUUCAUUUAUUUGAUAGAGUAAUUGGUUACUGAAUUAAAUUCUACUUUUUUUUGGCUGAUAGGAACACCUUGUGGAGACUACUUAUGGCCCCGUAUGUGUUGCCGUUUGUGGAGAUCCAGAUAAACCAGCGCUUGUCACAUAUCCUGAUGUAGCUUUAAAUUGUAAGCAAAUCUUCCACUAUACUUAUCAAAUAUGCCAUAACUUCAGUAGUUUAUCGAUAUGAUUAGAAAAGGAAUUUUGUGUAAUAUGUUGCGUUCAUCUUGUGCAGAUAUGUUCUGUUUUCAAGGAUUAUUGUUUUGUCCAGAAGCUAGUUCCUUGUUACUUCACAACUUUUGCAUAUAUCACAUAAGUCCUAUUGGCCAUGAGGUUGGUAACUGAAGUAUGAUCUUUUACAUAAUUUGUAUGUUUUUGGUAUUUUACUGUUAACUGCUAUUACAAUCCCUUGAUAAUGCAAUUCAUAUCCCUUAUUACAUCGCUUUCUUCAAGAAUCAUUGCAGUUGGGAGCUCCGAUGAUCAGUGCUGAUGCUCCUUUGCUCUCAGCUGACGACUUAGCAGACCAGAUAGUCGAGGUUCUUAACUUUUUCGGGUAAGAAUUCAUCUCCCGCAUAAGUUGUAUUUGUGAAAAUUAUUUCAUUAAGCUGCCUAUAUUCUUUUGAUAGCGUUGUAUUGGCUCUCGUUAACCAAAUUCUUUCUCUGGCGACUAGGUAGAAGAAAGAUUGACUAUUGUUUUCUUAUUUUCCUAAAUUUCUCUUCCUUCAUUGCUUAUUGGUUCUUAUCCAGACUUGGUGCAGUUAUGUGUAUGGGUGUCACAGCAGGAGCUUAUGUUCUGACCUUAUUUGCUGUAAGUAUUUGUCAUCUACAGUAACGGCACCUAUCUUAAGCUUAUCAUUCAACUUGAUGUCCAAUUUUUUAAUUUUUCUCGAAACUCGAUUCUUCCAGAUGAAGUACAGGCAGAGAGUUCUGGGGUUAAUUCUCGUCUCUCCACUGUGCCAAGCGCCUUCUUGGUCAGAAUGGUUGUGCAAUAAGGUUUGUUUCACAAAUAUAUCUUCUUUGGUUAUCACUUGGGUUUAUUCUUAUAUCAGUCACUUUAACUUAUGCAGGUUAUGUCUAAUUUACUUUACUACUAUGGCAUGUGUGGGGUGGUCAAGGAAUUGUUACUAAAACGGUAUUUCAGCAAGGUACGCUUUUGCUUUCAAAGGUUUCUUGUAAAUAGUGUAUUGACCCCAAGACGAAGCCACUUUUUUUUAUACUUUUGAGUGUGACAUAUUUUUAUAAUGCAUUAGCCAAAUGAUAAGCUUUUUUGACUUGUAGGAAGUUCGUGGUAACGCUCAAGUUCCAGAAUCGGAUAUUGUUCAAGAAUGCAGAAGAGUUAGUAAUAUUCUCUUUCCUUGCAAUUCCCUGAUGCUUUGACAAUUUUUGAUGUAAUAUUCCGUAAAAUUGAUAUGUUGUAUUCUCCACUAUCCAGUUACUUUGUGAGCGGCAGAGCACAAAUGUAUGGAGAUUCCUUGAGGCAAUCAACGGGUAAUUCUUGUUUCUCUCAGUUGAUAUCAUUUCAAAGAUUAUGCAAUGUAUUUUCUUCCGUCCAAAGCUGAAAGAAAUGUACCUUAUAUAUUUGGGUUUGGGUGAAACAGGAGAGGGGAUCUCAGCGAUGGGUUGAGGAAAUUGCAAUGCAGAACUUUAAUAUUCAUUGGUGAAAAUUCUGCGUACCACUCCGAGGCCGUUCACAUGACCACCAAACUAGACAGACGAUACGGUGCAUUAGUCGAGGUACAACAAUACAUCAACCAUUGAUAUGUCUGUUUUCUUUGUGCACACUCUAAAUCAUAAUUGUAUUAAAAAUGGUGGACUUCAAAUUAAACAGGUACAAGGAAGUGGGUCGUUGGUGACAGAAGAACAGCCACAGGCGAUGGUAAUACCAAUGGAAUACUUUUUAAUGGGAUAUGGCUUAUAUCGACCUACACAGAGUGUAAGCCCAAGGAGUCCUUUGAGCCCAACCCGAAUCUCCCCUGAGCUUCUCUCCCCUGAAAAUAUGGGCUUGAAGCUCAAGCCCAUCAAGACGCGACUCGCCCUAUGACACUGUCUACCCUGCUAGACAUUUAUUACAUAUAUACAUGAUACAUCACAUAAAAUCGCCAUUGUUGAAGUUGGAGCUGCUCGUCUGUUAUGAAUUGAGCUGUAGAUAUAGGCAGAUAUUGAUCAUCUAUAUAUAUAGAGAGUGUGAGAAGAAAAAGAGUGAAAAAGGGAUGGAGAAGGGAUUGAUAUUAAGGUAGAGAAAAUACAGAUGUUAUAUUUUGAUUCUUUAAAGUUGUCUUCAGUGGGGCUUUUUUGUGGUAGCUGUUCUUGUUCUGUCUGUAUUCUGUACAUUCCGUUGAAUAAAUUAUUGAAGGAAAAUCCCAUAAUAUUUGAUAUCAACUUCCAUUCUGUACAUGUACUUUUUAAGAAUUUCAAAUGCAAAUGUAAUCUACGGAAUGGACUAACAUGAACACACAAAAAUGAGGACUCCGAUGACAAAAAGUUUAAGGCUCAAUGGCUCAUGCAUGUGAGGUUCAAGUGGACAAGUCUAUGUGGUAUCGUAACAUCGCCCCUUGAGAUGAUGAUACAAACCCAAUUGAUGUAGAUUGGCUCACAUCUCUCUUAUAUAAUAUAUGUUGAUCCUUCACACUUUUGCGUGUGUGAAAGCAAUAUUUAUAAAAAAAAAAAAAAAGCAAUAUUUAUUCCCAAUAUUUUACAUUUUCUCUGUGGGCUUGCGAUCACUAUAUCACUCCAUAGAUGCAGAAAAUGUCACAUCAUGACGAUGUUUGGAUAGGCAAGUACGCGUUCGAGUUUCAAGUAUGAGGUGCAAGAAACAGGGAGACUCAUUUGCAGAUUUCUAUUCAAAAGAUUAAUUAAGCAAGGUGAGAAUAUAGGAGAUACUGUAUAUAUGUGAUGAUUAAACAGAAAAUUCCCAAAUUCUUGUACCGUAAUAGAAAGAUUGAUUAAAUGUUUAUUACAGAUUACAACAAUUAAGGAAAGAGAAAAAGAAACAAUACUCUCUCUAAUUACAAGGGAAACAAAUGGGUUGUGUAAGAAGGGCAGAGGUCAGUGAAUUUGAGGAGGAAGCAAACAAUGUUAGUGUUAAAAUAUUCUUUUUUUCCCUUCACAGAUGUCUUUUGUCAAAAUUUGGUAUUCCAAAACUUACUUCACCUGAGAAGAAAAUUCUGGUAUUAGGAAUUGUGAGAUUGGCGUGACAUCCGUUGUUUACCACUUUCUGAUCUUACAAUUUCUCCUUUCUGCACAAAUCCAAAACCAAAACCAAAGCUUUGUUAUUUAUUACAUAUACGAAGAAAGAACCUGGACACCAACCAAAAAACCAAACUAACCUUUACCUCUAUAGAGCUCUCUGGAGAAAACCACCUUAACAGUACUCCAAGAUGCACAACCGCUGGUAUCACUUUGAAAACCAGAGGUGUUGUAACCUGCCCCAUACAAAAACCAAACCAGCUCAGCUACUUGAACACAUAUAAGAGAGUCGGAAACCAAAAUGAUUUUAUCAUACCAGGCUAAGAGCGGUUGUCCCGAGGAGAAGCAAGUAGAGUUUCCCCUGACAAUUUUCAAAACUUUUAAGCUUCUUUCUUCAAAUUCUUAAAUCCUAUCAAACGAGGACCAGUUGCGUCACUUACCUCGAUGAGGUGAAGAUUGGAGGCACGGCUAAGUAGUACAAAGGCAAACUCCCCUAUCUGAGCCAAAGAUAUUCCAACCUGCAUCAUUUUCAUAAGACUUGGUCAAACAGAGAGGAGAGUACACGAAAGCAAACAUGAUCAUAAGUCAUUUGAGACAGAAUCUUUUACCAGGAGAGCAGUCUUGUUGUUGUAUCCAAAUCCCUUGACAACUGUUGUAACUAUCGUUGUCUUUAUAAUAAUUACUAAUAUUACAGAGGCUAACAGUAUAUCCACAUGGGUCCACAGAAAAUGGACAUUAACCAACAUUCCGAUGCUGGCUAGGAAAAGAGCAGCAAAUAGAUUACGGAUGGGUUCGAUCUGCAGCGAAUUAUAAAGCAUCUGAGUCAGACUAUCAACUCUUUCAGAGGUUAGAUCGGAUACUUGUCAACUGAUUACUUUUUGGUCAUAAUAUUCACCCUGUAAGAACCCGUGCUAUGAUUGAACAGGGAAAACAGUAAAGCCUUUUUGGUAAUAACUAGUCAAAACUUACUUGCUCCAACGUAUGUUCAGCGAGAUCCGUAGUUGAUAUCAUGACCCCGGCAGCAAAAGAACCCAGUUCAAGGCUUAAUCCCAGCUUAUCACUACACUGAAGACAUGAAAGACCAUUUAAAUAAACAAGUCAAUAGAAAAAUUCUCAUAUAUCAGAAAACUAGGCGAACGAAUGCACGAAAAAGAAACUUGAUGAAAACAAUGUGAGAUGGAUACUAAUAAGGAAGAUCAUGAGGAAGAGAAAGACUAAGUAGGACUCACCCAGGCUACAAGUAGACAAAACGCAACAGCGGCUAACUGAUAGAGUUCAUUUGUCUGAUCCAUGAAAAAGAGUUUAGGUUAAUCUAGAAACUGGAUUCAUUAGAUCAGAAGAUAGGGAAAAUAAGCUUGAGAGCAAAAUGAUGUACCUGUGACGAUAAGCUGACCAUUAGCUUCAGCAACCAAGGGAUACAUGUCCGUGAUAAUAUUGACAGAACAGCCAAAAACGAAAGCAACACAACCGCCCUAAAUAAUAGACCGAAAAGGAAUUAUUAACAUCGAUUCUUUAAAUUACGCGAUAGGAAAAAUAACUCUUAUCAGUAUUUCCUUACACUUUUGCCAUUGAGAAUACUCCCUCAACAAUGCCAGAAUUUCCCCCAAGAACUGGAAGCAAAGCAAACAGCAGACCCACAGCACAGUCCUAGAAACAGAUGCUAAAAUCAGAUCUCCAAAUCAUUUGAAAAGGAAUUCUACAAGAAAAAGGUCAUUGUUUGAUUGCCAUAUAAACACUAAACAAUCUAGAAAGACAAUGGACAUCACAUGUUGAUGGAAAUACUAUCAGAUACCUGAAGAAUUAGGGUUCCAAUUGUAACUUGGCCAUGAAGAGAAUUAGUUGAAUUUUUUUCCAUGAGAAACUUCAGCACCUAUUGUUUGAAGGCAGAAACACAUAAUGAAACAUACAAUCAACAAUACUAAUAAGAAAGCCUGCUGAUGGAAAUGGUUAUAUAAGAAUUAUAGAAUUCACUGAAAUUACCACCGCGGUUGAUGACAUUGACAGAAAUGCUCCUACAAAUACACCCUCCGAACGUUUACCACCACAUAACUGCAAACGGGACCAAUUGAAAGCAUUUCACAGAGAGUUACUUCUAAUACGAGUGCCUAACUUUCAAAGACAUGACACUAUAAGCUGCAUAAACUAAAUGAAACUUAUAGAACUAAAUGUCCACGAGUAAAAGACAAAAACAGAGAAAAAUUUCCUGAGCCACUGGUGAAAGAAUGACGCACCGACACUGUGAUUCCGCACAAGAACAUAAAAAGAAGAAUUUGAAGAAGGCCUCCCAGAACAGCAACUGAUCGAACAACUCGAAGCUACAUAGUAGGAGGAAAGGUGGUCAAGAGAAGAUUUCAAUUUGAUACUAAGCAAAUCAAAGACGUUGAUAUCACCUUAGCAGUGGAGAACUCUAGACCCAAUGCGAAGAGCAGGAAUACCACACCAAACUGGGCGACUGUUUCAACCUACAUAAAUAACCAUGCCAAAAUGAAGGUGCAAAUCCACAUGUAAGAUCACAUAAAAUUAUGCAAAGAUAUACAUUCCCAUCUCCACAGCAGUCUAAUGCUAUAGUUUCCUACUAAAAGACGAACUAAGGUCUUUGUUAUCCAUGCACCAUCACAUGAUAUUAGCUCAAUUUGUUUUGACCCCCGGAAGUCUGAAGAAAAGAGUUCCUAGUCAAAGACCCUCAGAAGAAAAUAGUUCCUAAAUACCUGGACCAUCUCACUGAUGAAGUUCAAUCCUCCAGGCCCAAUGAUAGAUCCUGCUAGCAAAUAUCCAGUUAUCACCUGCAUUGAUUCACAAAAUGUGAAGAUAGAGACAUCAUACUGAAAACCUAAAUUUAUAAUGACAGAAGAGAAUGAAAGUCAAACCGGCUGUCCAGCACAAGCAAAGGCGAUACCACCGCAAGUUGCAGACACAAUGACAACCACCAGGUCUGAUAUCAGUCUACAUGCCAUAAGAAGCACAAAUCAGAUGACUAAUUAAGAAUCCCCGAGUCUAAUUUUCAAAGAAAUUUAAUCAAUUAAUAAGUAAGAAUCUUGCCUCAAGUCUAGCUGCAAUACUGGAUACUUGGAUUUGAAAUUGGAUAUGAUGAAGACAUUGUCCUGUAAACAAAACCAAAAUUACCAUGUAAGAACAAAUACAAGAAAUCCAAAACUCUGACUUCCUGUGCUAAAGCUUACUUUUCGAUCAAUCAGAGUCGGAGUAUCCUCAGCUCUGUUAUCAUUGUCCAAGUUGAAAACAUCAUGGAGUUGGAAUCGCCUAAGGGAAAUUAGAAAACGCUUAAUAGGUAUAAAAUUCAAAAACACUAUAGAAGGUCAUAUAAGGAAGUUUUAGAAACAAAACAAUAACUAGAAAUGAAUAGUGUUACUUCUCCUCUUUUGUCUCAUUUUUCUUUGUUGUCUUUACUCUGGCUACAGUUUCCAGAACAGCCUGAUCACCACAAGGUACAACAAUCAAGAUCACAUUCAGAGACUCAUAUUAUGAAACUCAUGAAACAAAAGAUCGAAUCUAAAGCAAGCCUUUGCUAUUUAUUCGAAUGAAUAGACAUGGGAGCGAUUUUGAAUCUGCUAAAGCAUAAACAAACAAAUAAACAAAAAUUCUUCCAAAUUUGGAAAUAUAUUAAUGAGGAAAUGAUACAUGAGCCACUUAUCAUACAAACCUGCUGUCCAGCUACACUGUUGUUGAAGCUUCCAGGAUCGGCCACUGCCAUCAAUAUAACAACAAAAUAAAGAUAAUAACAAAGUUCGCCACUAAUAGUAAAGGCUAAAGAAGACAAGAUCUAUCCAUUUCAGGAAACCAAUCAUUAAAACAAUUUUUUUUUUUAAAUUAUCGUUCUGCAGUCAUUCUCGAUCCAGAAGAAGCAUACUAAUACUACUCCACAUUGUGGGAUCGUGAUCAAUCUAAGUUCCGAAUCGUCCAGGGAUCAGAGAUCCAAUUUAAGAUCUCACUCGUGAGUUGGAUGAAUCCUCAAACACGAGUGGGAAGAACACUGAACCAGAAUCUUUAGAAGAAAAUUAAAAAAUCAUGAAAAUGGGAUAGGUAGGACCGAUUCCAGUUUCAAUGGCCGCCAUUUUCAACAUCAUAAAGUUCUCAGGUAGAGAUAGAAAGAGUACCUUCAUUCUGGUCGCUAUCGUUGAACUCCUUUUCGAGAGCGCGAUCGAUGAUGUCGGCGAAGCUACCUUCCUUGGGCUUAACAAGAGAAGAAUCGUUCAGAGAUGCGACGGAGGAGUUGCCGAGGGUUUCGUCUAACAGAUCCGAAUCAGGGAGAGCCCGGGGAGACGCGAAGGAGAAACAGAGGAAAAGGAGAGCAAGUUCAAAGGAGAGUAAGGAUCUUCUUCUUCUUCUUCCUCCCCCUUCCACCAUGGCAGGACUGAAUCUGGAUUAAACCGGUAUGGGGCACGGUAAAGAAAACCGGUACCGGUUUAAACACCGUCGCGUGGCGUCGCGAGUGCGCAAGUGGGGUGGGGAGAGAGAGAGAGAAGAAGAAAGUGAGAUGAGAUGAGAAGAGAGAGGGACUGUUCGAAGAGCGGGGAAAGAGAGAUUGCAAUGGUCAAACAACUAGUCCAUACAUACACUAUUAUAUAGUAGCCGACGAUGGAUUAUAUAUCUGUAAAUAAGAAAAUUAUAUAUCUGGAUGUUGUUUUUCGUUUUCGUUGCAUUAUACAACUGCCCUGCACCAUGUGUGGCCCAUGAAUAAUGAUUUCGAUUAGGACAAACAUCUUAUACAUAUAAAUCAUUCAGUGUUAUUUUUUUGGAAAUUGGCUAAGAUGUCCACGCCAUACUCAAUAUGGACUCUCUUUUAGAGUUUCUACUUUUGAAAAUUCAUCAGUUUUUAUCAUCUACUCCUUGUCCGCCUAUCUACGGAUCAACUCAAUUACAUACGAUAACUCGAGGCUGAUCAUCAAAUAAAAUAAAUCAAUCGUAAAAUCAAAUAAGUUUAUGACGGAUUAUUGGUUUUUGCCGGCAUUUUCUGGAUUGAGAACAAUAAAAGUCCGGUUUAUGAAUGGGACCAAAUUAAUGUUUGGAUUUAACCACCGAUCCGACCGCUAGGAUAAAGUUGAAUUCAUAUGGGUUCAGUAUUUAUCCGAAAAAGAUUACAAAUAAAAAAUAACAGAAAAAUAUACCAAAACAAACAAAUAUAUACAAUAUUUUUAUUCCUCUCUCUCCCACAAUUCAUCUCUUCCUUUGACAACAAUGGCGGACAAACCAAGCAGAGCACUUGUAUUGUACGGAGACGGCUUGGCUCGAUUCGUUGACCCGUCUAAUACCCACAUCCAUUCUCUCGCUUCCGUCGCUAAUUGUGGCUUCUUGAGCCUUCCUCAUGCGCCUCCAGGUCUCUCUCUUUCCCCCUCACUCUCUUAAUUGGCCUACUUUCGUUGAUUAGUCAAACAAUUUCGGUCAUGAUCGCCGGUUUACUUAUUGAAUUUCUCCCCAUUUAUUGGCGAUCCUUGUUUGAGACUGGUGUUUAUCAGAAAUGAACCGUGUCAAACUUGAGAGUCGUUUGAUUUUGUGAGGCAUUUGGAUCCGUUUGAUCAAAAAUACCAAAAUAUUGUUUUUUAAGCCAAAUAUCAAUAUGAAACUGGCAAAGCAGCUCACUUUGAGUCUUCUCUGUCUUGAUCUAACUGGGCAACAUGGAAUCCAUGAUUAGUGUCAUGUGUGUUGAAGAGGAAAUGAAAAAUAGUUUUUUGCUUCAUCUAUGCAAUUUGACCCAAAUAUAUUAAAAAUCGAAGAGUAAAAAAUCACUUUGUGUUACAUUUGCCAGCGCUUUGCUGUUCUGCUACUAGAUAUUUAUUUACCAUGUUUUUAUUCACUUGCAGAAUCUGAGAAAGAAAGGGUAGUUCGAGAAUUCGCCCAUUUGCUCGAUGCAUCAGAAGCUUAUACUAUAGCCGUGAGAUACUUCACUCUCUGAGAAUGAAUUUUUAUGCGAGCCGAGUUAGGUGGUGUAUUGGUACAUAGUUUUAUUCACGACAGUAGAGGCUAAAAAUCCAUGAUUUUUGUUUCUUUUGUAACAGACUGGAUUAAAAGCUAAGGAAAGUGAAAAUGAAAUCUCAACUUUGGCUGAAAGGUUUGCCAUUUCUCUUAUCUGUAUAGUUUUCACACUCUUUUGGAUAAUAAAUAGCCAGUAUUUCCAGAUGAUGAUGCUAGUUUUGACAUUGAUGUCACUGGCACAAAUAUUAUGGUGCAGGUUUAUGGGACUCAAGGCUGCUUUAGUAACGGACUGUUCUACUCUGAGUUCUUUCGGAAAACUGAUUGGCUUAGAUGUAUUACAGCUUAGUGAAAUAUGCCAUAAGAGUGAUUCCUCUCCUUCUGAUGCCACGGCAUCGAAGUUACUAAGGCUGCUUGGAUUUGAAGGAGGAAAGUGCUUGGAUGUGAGCCUAUACGACUCGGUGUUUGUGCAUAUGGGGGUUGAUGAACAUAAAGACUUGCGUACUGGGAACAACGUGGGAG